rnacentral:lncRNA from 1 species
UUUUUUUUUUUUUUUUGAGAAUAACUCAACCACAGGUUGAUUCUCCUGCUAAAGAGAUCUGUCCCGCAUCUGGCAAAACUGGGCUGGCUGUCCUGUGGGCUGCUGCUCCGCAGGCCGAAAUGAAGCCCUCUGGUUAACUGGGCCGAUUAGGCGAUUUGGGAGUUUCCACCCCACUUAACUAACCGAGCACGUACGGUCCAGAGCGACGGAUCGGCCUGCACCCGAUACAAAGGACCUGAUCGGUGACAGAGGGGGGGAUCGAGGCGCUCGCGAUGCGGCCGACGCGGGUGUUGCGAGGGGAUCCAAUCGACGCACGCGCGAUCGAUCUUCCUUGGGGAUCCGGCUGACGCGCGCGAGAGGAUCCCGUGGCGCGCACGAUGCGGGUGACGCCUCAUCUGAUGGAAACUGCCCCGCUGACACUUUAAAGAUGCAAUCACACUUCAGUUUUGGAGCGCGCAUUCAUGGCGGCUGCCGAUCCUUUCCGAUGUCGUGGAGUACAGGUACGCGUAUAUAUUUGUAUAUAUUCCUCCUUUCCUGUCACUCUUCGCCUACCCUUUCCAGUCCAGCAGCACAACAUCUUUCAGAAAGUCGAGGCAGGCCACGGCGACUGAUCCCCAUUGAGUGCACGACCUUCUCAGUCGCGGGGCAUGCGGGUGAGGCAGGCCGUGACACUUGGAUUUCGUGGGAGAAGCGAAGCAGCCCUAUGGCUGUUCGGUGAAGCAGACGACUGAAUCUCAUCUGACGGGUUGAAAGAUGCGAUGAAUCAUCAGUUCUUGGAAGUGUUAACGACAACUGAUGUGCGCUGCCGUUCACCUGCAUCCUUUGGUGGAGAUAUACAUUGUUAUUUUCCUGGCCUGCAACUGCUUGACUUCAUGCGCCUGAAUAUGCAACUUCCCGUCCUUCUCUGACUGUAGCAGCUAUGGUUCACGGUUGUAUUGCCCACUAUCUUUAUUUUUCUCUUUCCCCUACGAUUCCCUCUUCCACUCAGCAAUUCUUUUCUGCUAAUGUCUUUCCGAACUCAAUUUGUACAGGGGUUUGUCAAUCCUGGAUCUGGUCAACUAUUUGAUUCAGACAGAUCAUGGAGGCUGGUUCUCAUAUUUUGCUUGGUGAAUUCUUCAAUGCACAAUUUGCCAUGGCUGCUGAUCAGGUAAUUAGUUCACUCGCAGGACUGACGCACCUCAUCUCUUCAUGCAAAUAUAAUCCAACAUAGUCUAUUUCGUCAUGUGCUCCAUCCAAGUGCUAACUGAACCUCAACAUAAACCAGUUGCUUGCUUUGUUUGCAAAGUUAUUUUAGACUUAGAACAUUUUGCUGUUUAGAGGUAGCUUUUCUGUAAAAAGUUGUCGUGCUGCUAUAAUACAACAUGUCACGAAUUGUCAAGAGAAAUCUAGAUAGAUCUGAUUGAGUUAACAAGUUUAUCAUGAUGUAAUAUAUGCAUUGUGAUACAUUCUGCUAUACUGGUUUGAUGCUUGAUUCGUCAAUGUCAUUUCAUAUUCUGAGGAAGUCUCAUUCUUUGAGGGAGAACCUGAUUGAUGGUGAACCUAGGGACUUGGAAGUUUGCUUUGCCCAUUGGUUGAGAUCUAAUGUAUGAAUAAGACUUAACUUAUUUUACAACAGCACAUGACCACUUCUCAAGAGAAGGCAAACUACCUACAUGCAACAAUUAUAAUCUCACUGGUAUGGCUGUCUCUUUUAUUUAAUUUAAAUAAUUGGCAUUACUAGCAUAUUUACCAUUUGUAAAACAGAAUAACCAUUUCUUUAAUUGUUCAUCUUUUUAUUAACUGUUAGUAUAUAUGUAAUGCUCACUCUGCUUUUGCAGGCCCCUUAAGUCAUUCCAGUCCUACAAUGUUCAAAAAAUAUGUGUAAACAAAUUGAUGGCUAAAGUAGACCUGAAGUUCAAGGAAGCUAUCCUUAUAUAUUUAGAAUUCCAUCUUUGCAUACAUAUGUUCUGGACCAUCUACGAUAUUCAUAAUCUGUGUCCUAAGACAACAAGCUAUACCAUGAUUAUCUAAGCUUGCAUUGUGUUGCCCGUCCUUUUUUCAAAUGGAUGUUCUUACGUAUUUGCCCCUUGUUAUACAAGCUGCACACAUGAAGUAUGUAUUUAUUAUUCGAUAUGUUCACUUCUUAAAAGUAUGUGAAAUUCAUAUUUCAUAUACUUAUCUACUGCUAAAAGACAACUACUGCUACAAUAGCACAAUAAUUUUCCGCUCUUCCAUGUGGAUGAUGGCUAUCUAUGUAACUAAAUCUUUACCACUAUUUGUGCAUGAUUAUACCUGUUCUUCUAAUAGCCUAAUGUCAUUCCCUUUGAUACACCACUGCCACCAUGGCCAAUCCACCAAAAGGAGGCAGAAUAGGAAAAUAACAUCACAAAUUAAAUAUAUGUAAAUAGGCUAAUGGAGUAAUCGAUUUAUAGUAAAAUACACUAUUGUCGAAUCAAACAAGAAGAGGAUAUACUAUUAUUUUUGUUUUGUGAGAGCACGACAAGGAGUUUAGAACUCUCCUUUACUCCACCAUAAUAACCUAUUUUCCAAAUUAUAAUAAUCACUUCAACAAGGGAAAGUGGAGCAGAAUUUUGCCAUUGUCCAAGGGAUGCGAUCAAUGCAGACCGCGAUGGAUAACGUCCAUUAUUUGAUGACUAUAAAACUAGCAAUGGUGUAUUAACAAGAAAAUCACUUUAAUAAACAAAAUAGAUGUAUUAACAACAAAUGUAUAUCUUUCCCUAAUAAUAAAGCACGGAUUGAGUCUCCGGAUUCACCGCCAUCCUCUUUUUUUUCCGUACGAGGUACUAUUUUUCUUUGCGUGCUACUGACUUUAGGCUUCUGGCCUGGACCACAAUAUCUAAUUGGGCUUCGGCUGGGCCUGCUCCAUUCCACCCGCACACCAUUAAUCAAAUAAAUAAAAAACCGCAAAAAUACAUUAGAAUACAAUAGGGAUCGAACUUGAGACCUAAGGAUAAAUACGACACAUCAACUUUUGUUGUCAUAGUAUUAGUUAUAUCUAAUAAGCCAUCACAGAUAUUCGAUUUUUUUUGUUAUGAAUUUGUGCGGGCAAAUUAUUGGCCCAUCUAAGGUUUCUGGCGGCCCGGCGGUCGAGGCAAAAAUAAUUGCCGGUAAACGGAAUUGAACUCUAGACCUCCUACUUAUUAACUCAGCCAACCAAUCUAGCUCCUGUUAUGUGUUCGAGUUAAUGUUGAUUUACGUGUUAAAUUAGUCCCACCUCGCAAUCUUACAUCCAAUCCACCCAAUUUAUAUAUGCCUCGAGUUUCCUGGGUAUCACGAAGCCGUCUAAGGAAUCAAACGGGACGUGGCAGAAAUAAGGAAGAAAAUAGAGAGGCUAAUUCGUGGGCUAUACUAAUAAGGAAGGAAAUCAAAAGGACGUGGCAGAAAUAAGGCAGGAAAUAGAGAGGCUAAUUCGUGGGCUAUACUUAUAAGCAAGGAAAUCAAAAGGACGUGGCAGCAAUAAGGAAGGAAAUAGAGAGGCUGAUUCAUGGGCUAUACUAAUAAGGAAGGAAAACAAAAGGACGUGGCAAAAAAAUAAGGAAGAAAAUAAGGAAGGAAAUCAAAAGGACGUGGCAAAAAUAAGGAAGAAAAGAGAGAGGUUGAUUCAUGGGCACUGAUAAGGAAAGAGGCUAAUUCGUGGGUAAAUAAGAAAGAGGCCAUAUGUGGUGGUCGUACUAAAUUGAAUGGGGCGUGACAUAGAAAUAAAUUGGGGCCAUAUGUGGUGGGGGUGAAGUAUAAACACGUCAGGCACGCAUGCUUAGGGCGACUGGCGUAAGAACUGAGAAAGAGAAAGAUUGUGCUGUAUUUUUUUUAACUCAAGAAAACAACCGUUUCUGGUUUUCUUUUUGGUCUUUUAUGAAUGUUUUAUGGACCAGCCCACCCCUGCGGCCACCCCAAACGCUCGCACAGUGAGAUCUUCACUUGACUUCAAAUAGCUCAAUUUUUAUACGUACCUUGUUAGUGGCUACUUGAGAUAGGAUGGCUCAAUUUAAAUAUUAUCACGUUUACCAAUAAUUUUUGCAUGACGUUUGGAAGACUAGAAUUCGGAGCAACUUUUUUGAUUUUGAUUGCUUAAUUCAUAGGAUGAAAUAUGAUGAAAAUCCUAUCUAUACACUAUCUAUCUUCUUCCAUUUCUUUGUCCAUCUCUCCAUCUAUUUUCUGAGAUUUCAGGAGUCUGACAGAUGAAGGUGGUUUUGUUGAUACAUGCCACCAACGGGCCACCCUCCGAGUCGUCCGAUUGCUCAAAUGUAAUUGUUCAUCCUCACUAAUGUUCUCCUUACAUGCCCUCCGACCACGCGCAAAUGAGGAGAAGAAACAUAAUGAAUCAAAGUCUCUUGCUUGGCUGAAUCAUGCCAACCUCCUGCAGUAGGCAUAUAGUGCUGGCACAUGUGUUGUAUCCAUAAAAACUACUCCCUCCUUCCAUCUAUAUAGGGCCUAAUACAUUUUUUGAGGAUAAGUUUAACCAAAUGUUAGAGCAAUAAUAUAUGACAUGCAAGUUACAGAAAGCACAUCGUCAAAUUCGUAUGUAAAAGGAGCUUUCAAUGAUAUAAUUUUCACAUUAUGCAUGUCAUAUACUAUUAAUCUUGUCAAUAGUCAAACGUAGUCUUGAAAAACGCAUUAGGCCCUAUAUAGAUGGAAGGAGGGAGUAGAUUAUUUAUGCUCCAUUGCAAUGCAUGAGUUCUUUUGUUCCUCUCGUUGCAACGCACGGGCAUUUUUGCUAGUUCCACUUAAAGUCAAUUUAAGUUCAAAAUAAAUGUAUCCACACACCAAGUUCAACUAGCUAAGUGUCCGUGCGUUGCCACGGACUAACAAAUAUAUAUAUACAAAGAGAAAAUUAAUGUGACAUGAGAGUCAAAGGCCAUUUUUAUGGGAUGAUAUCUCAUGGUCAUGAUCUAGUAGGUACAUACAUCUCGUCAUUGUCUUUCUUCCACACUCCAUGUCUGAGCUACCACGCGACACUCGACUUCCUUCUCCCACCAUGCAUGCUUUUAUCUCCUAUUUCUCCUACCUCUACCUUGCACGACAGUACCAAGUUUCUUGUCCAACUAUCAUAAUCUUCUCCGGUAGGGCACCCCCUUAGAUUAUUACUGACUUGUACAUGUUGCAAAUAAGAUCAACGAAAAUGGAUACUAAAUUUCUGAUGAGAAAUGAGAAUUCGGGGCAAUAUCUUCCCAAAAAAAUAAUAAUUCCAAGACAAUCUUUUUAUACCUUCUGUCAACAUUGGGACACACAUUCCAUGCAAUAAGCAUGCAAUGAUGUUGAUACUUGAUUAAUUGUCAAUAUAUGUCUAUAGUAAAGAUAACUUUACUCAAAACAUGUUUUUCUAAGAAGGAAGGAUAAUUCAUAUUAGAAAAAAAAUAAAGGUUUGGGUUCAUCCCACCAAUGUUUCUCUUGUGCAACUCAUCUCCGCACCUGCUCGCGAGAUUGGCGUGUCUCGAGCACACCACUCCCACACACCCUCACAAGAGCGUCACAACCAAUCUCUGAGUGCCACUGACACACAUGCAUGGAGCGCUCACUCCAAGCCUGACUAUACACAUUUCCACAGUAGCCGAAUUCAAAGAGAAUCAACGGGGCAUCAUCCACUGCUUUCUCAGGGUCCUAUUCAUCAUGAAAUCAUAGACCAAGAUAUUCCUCCCAUCCAUUUUUUAGGGAAAGGAUUUUUCUCGAUGUUCCUCUCAUCUUCAUGGUAGUAAUAACCUAAAAACGCCACCAGUCAACUCCGAAGAACAUGCAACAUUGUGAGAGUCAAAGUCAUGGUCAGUCAACUCCGUCAAGAAUUUCAAAUUAUGUGCUAUCCAAUACGUACUUGUUGCCGAUGGAACGACCACAUGGAUAGCUCCUACAAUCUUCAUGCAGGUUGCACAAAAUUACGCCAUAGGAGGUUUCAAACCUUCAAUGGGCCACCCUUGGCCAUCCAGCCGGUGGUUUUCCAUCCUUCCUUACGCCUGACGUCUUGUGGAACCAGGCGCAUCCCAGAUCCACCGCCUUCCAUUCAGGUCGCCACACAGAGGGGAAAAAUAGAGUAGGCGGUGGCGCGGAGGAGGAGGCGGUGGUUUUCUAUGUCACUGGUGUUUGUGUAGUUGUGCGUUGGAACUCACAACGUGGGGAGGACGAGGAAAUGGGAGAGCAGAUUGUCGAUGGUGGCAUGGGAAAAAGAACGCGGUCUGAGGAGGGGGUCGGUGGCUAGAACUUUGGAAAGGAAGGAAACCUGAUUGUGUUUCCCUUUAUUUUGUAUAUGGAAGUUAUCGUAUGGUUCAUGUAUGGCAACAAGUCCUAUAAAAGAGAACCAAGGAUUGAUUGAUGAUUGUGUUUUAUUUCAUAUGGAAACCGAUUUGUCGGGGCUACAUGUAAGUGCAUUGUGACUAAGGAAGGAUCAAUAGAUUGAAUUAGAUUAGAAAAAACCCAGCAGGAGGGUGGAGUUAUUAAUUAAGAAAAAAGUCAGUAGUGGGAGGUGGGAUGAAAUAAAACCGGACGAAAAAAAGUCAGUAGUGGGAGGUGGUAGUCUCCGCCGGCCAAUUUUCGUCCCACCUCCACUGGUUUUUUUCGUCCUAAAAAAAUCUAUGAAAUUUCGUAGGUUAACCAGGGACAACUCCCACCUUCCAGGUUUUUUUCCGUCUCACCUUCCAUGAUAUUUUUUUGUACCUCGCCCCACCUCACACUGAGCCGCCAAGAAUCGCAAAAACCGCCUACCUUAGCCAAAUCAACAAAUCUCUCUCAUUAAUGCAAUUUUCUUUAGCAAACAAAUAAUAGAUUCUUUCCUACCUUAGCCAAAUCAACGGAUCUCUUUCAUUAAUGCAAUUUUCUUUAGCAAACAAAUAAUAGAUUCUUUCCUACCUUAGCCAAAUCAACGGAUCUCUCUCAUUAAUGCAAUUUUUCUUUAGGAAACAAAGAAUAGAUUCUUUCCUACCUUAGCCAAAUCAACGGAUCUCUUCCAUUAAUGCAAUUUGCUUUAGCAAACAAAUAAUAGAUUCUUUCCUACCUUAGCCAAAUCAAUGGAUCUCUCCCCGGUUCGCUGGGCGCGUUUCGGUGGGUGGGCGUGGGGGUGGGGGUCAUUUGAUGGAAAAAACCAUUUGAAAAUAAACCGGUUGAAAGUGGGGGGACUAUUCAACCAAUUCGUCCAUUAGGAGUAGAGAUCAACGGAUCUCUCCCCGGUUCGCUGGGCGCGUUUCGGUGGGUGGGCGUGGGGGUGGGGGUCAUUUGAUGGAAAAAACCGGUUGAAAAUAAACCGGUUGAAAAUAAACCGGUUGAAAGUGGGGGGACUAUUCAACCAAUUCGUCCAUUAGGAGUAGAGAUUUUUAAUAUUUGCCAUCAAAAUAGACGGGCGCGGCAACGCGCGCUAGGAGCGCCCGCGUCCAUCAGCGCGCCGCCGACCGACGGGACGAAUCCCCUGGCCACGCUGCCCUUUCCCAGAUGCCCCGGUCCACCGCCGCCUUCUUUUCGAGAGCCGCUCCGAUCUCGACGUGGUCUACUGACGCCGCCCCUCUCCCACCAGCAAGUUCUCCGCCUCCAUCUCCCUCUGCCACCGCCAGCAGUACGUGCUCCUUCUUCCCUCUGCCGCCCCGUCCCUUCUCGACGCCCCCCUCACUCACACUUCACCUUCCGCCAUAGCCCUUCCCAUCAUGGCCCCGACCCCCAGUGCCUCCAUGUCGCCAGCCACAUCUAGCCGUUCGGAACUCUUCCGAUCUGAACCUGGUCGUCCUUGCCCACACAUUGCUCCAAUCCAAGUGCCCCGCCUGUUGGUUGGCUUUUGCCUCUUCGACGAUCAGACCCGGGCAGCAAAGAGGCCGUAAAGCACCUCCUCCUCAUGCCCGUAUGAUCACCCAAGCACUCGUGGUGGUCGUCUCCUUGUUCUUCCUCUUCACCAGAUACAGGUUACAAGGAAGCUCCUGAAUCGCCACCCUUUGCUUUCUCCCCUUCCUUCUGAAUUAUGCAUAACCACAGGUCAUUUUUGCAGCCAGAUUUUGUUGCUCUUUUGAAGAGUCGAUCAAGCCACUUCUCGCUGCAUACUCCAAUGUAAUUUUGUCCUGGUAUGAACUAUGUACGAAACACAUAUCAUGACCACUCAUUUCUAUUGACAUUUUUUUGUAGGUGUUAUUAUUGACAUUUGCAUGAUUUGAUUAUUGUCAUUAGCAGUCCAUCUGUAGCUGGUAAAGUGGGUCAAACUUAUUAUAUCUGUGACUUACCACAUGUUUGUUGAAUCAAUGUUGAAAACAACAAAGGGAAUAAUUAUCCUGUGUCUAAUUUAAACGCAGUCCUACCUGAACUUGUGGCUGGCUCUCUUUUUAGUCUUGCUUACCAUCUGGAUUAGCCCUGAUCCAUCUUCAUCACCAUGUUUACAUAUACAGAUGUUAUUGGAAUAGUAUCUGGAAUUUCAGAUAUACUGAAGGUACGAUUACCUGCUAGAGCACAAGAAUCAGAUGAAAGGAACUUGCUGUUCACAGAUAUUGAGUAAGCUAUUUCAUAUAGAUCAUGAUACAUUAAACUUAUCUGUUGAUUUUAUGAUAUUUAAUCCAUGAUGCUAUGUUUAGUGGAAACACUAUGGAAGUUGCACUGUGGAGAGAACAUGCAACUUCCUUCCAGGCUGAUAAUCUAUACAACCUUGGUCCGACGCAACUAAUUCCAGUUCUUUUGAUUGAAAAUUUUAUGAAAAGUUACCUAGGUAUGGUCGAUGUUUCAAAGUAUUUAUUUACACCUUUUCAAUUAAGAAAGAAGCCACAUGGUUAUAAAAAAUGUAGGCUGUUCACAAUAAGUUGCAGCGAUGCUGCUAAGAUUUAUAUCAAUCCAGAUAUACCUGAGAAGAUAAAUUAUUGUGCCAGGUAAAAAAAGUAACUAACAUUACAAAUUGUAACACAUAUCAGUUAACUGUUGUAAUAUACUUACCUUUAUGUUCAUUAUGCUGAAUGCAGACUAGGUAAACAAAUGCCUACCAUGUCUGACAGUCAUGGCAGCACGUGAUGAUCGGUACAAUCCAACAAUUAGUAAUGAAAGGGCUGGCACCGUCAAGGUCGAUUUCCUGGUUACCAUGAAUCCUAAUGAAUUCCAGAUACAUCGUACCUCUAAAUAAUGUUAUUCUGAAGGUCGAUUUCCUGAUUACCAUGAAUCCUAAUGAAUUCCAGAUACAUCGUACCUCUAAACAUUUUCUUGGGAGUUAUUUACACAUGUCCUACUUUCAGAAUAACUAUCGAAUACCCAACCAACAAAUGUCAAUUUCAUUGAUUAUGUUAAUUUUGUAGGGGAAUAAUAUGAUGAGCACGGUCACAAUAAUGAGACUGGCCUCAGAACAUUGGUGAUUCCUCUCUUGCCAAAUAUGCCAUAGGAAGGCAUUUCAAGCUGGAAGUGCAUUUGUUUGCAGCAAUAAAAAAUGUGGUUGUACCUCAGCUACACCAAGGUAACCUAUUAUAAACUUGCUGAUUAACAUUUUUUAUUGCCACAAGCUUAUUUUCACACUGUCCUACCCAGGUACAAGGCGCGCCUUAUUGGUGCUGAGGAAUAAUCAGGGGAAGCUGAGUUUGUGUUCUUUGAAAGAGACUUGAAGUUAUCAUGGGCGGUGCAUCAGACCGCCCAUUGGCUGUUACUGUAGCUCUAAAUAAUGCAUAAGAAAAUGUUUGUUUCUAUGCGUGGUGCAUCGUACCUCUAAAUAAUGUUUGUUUCUAUAGCUCUGCUUUCUACGAAAAUGCACUUAGAUCUACUUUCUGCCAAGAAUGUUUGAAUCUGAAUGCUAUAAUAUCUAAAUUCCUAAUCCCUAGAGCUUGCAUGCAUUUCUUGUUUUUUCUGUUCUUUUGUUUUUGUACUAUUUUAACUUUAUUCUUUAGUUUGAUAAAAAUUUACCGUAGAAUGAUUGUUGUACCCAAAUGAUAAUCGUCAUACGUGUGGCACGAACUAAUCCGAUCCUGGCGUUUUAUUUACUAUUAAAAGUUGCCAUCCAAAAAAACCCAGAAACUUGCCUUCUGAAAACAAAAUUGUCGUCCUCAAGUCACUAAACUUGCCAUAAAAAAUAUUUGGAGUUGCCAUUUGUUUUUUUUAAAUAAAAAUUCAACUUUAUUAGUUAGAAAUAAUUUUUACAUCGUCCAUAAGAAGAGGUACAAUAUCCUUCAUCGGCUCCUCAAACCAAUCCCUAGUGGCUGAAAUUUUUGCUAAUCUAGCUAUUUCAUGGGCCACUCUAUUUGCUUCUCUAAAACAGUGUUCAAAUUUAACUCUAGGAAAAUCACAAGCCAAAAAGUAACAAGCAUAAAAAACUGCAGCUGCCGCUCCCGCCGAGUGUCCUCCAUUCUUCAUUAUGUCGAUCACUUCCAUGUUUUCUGAGUUUCCAACAAGGCGAUUGCAGCCCACCUUCUAUGCUAGGAAUAAACCAAAUUUAAGAGCCAGAACUUCAGCUGUUAAUACAUUAUCACACCAUUCAAUCCACCAGUUUCCUCUAACGAUGAACCUUCCCUUAUCAUCUUUCAGGACCACACCAACUGUACCUUGAAGGAGAUCAUGAUCGAAAGCGGCAUCAACAUUCAGCUUCACAAAUCCCCUAGGAGGGAUACUCCAUCCCCCUAUUUUACGGUUGCCAUGUGUUCGUGCCACACGUGUGGCACUUAUCAGACUCGUUCUACAGUUUCGGGUAACAAAAAAAGAAUAUUCUCUGAUGUGAGGCAACACCAAUUUCUUUCCAUAAGUUCUUUUGUUUCUGUCUUUUCAUAUGUUUCAAAUAGUACAUGAUCCAAUGUAUAGCAUGGACAUAAGAGCAUCUCCAGCUGCGCCCCCAACAGGCCCCAGGCCAUUUUUAGCGCCGGCGGCCAAAAAAGGCCCAGUCACGUCCUCAGGAGCCCGUUUUUCGUCGGUUUGGGCCGAAACUGGCGCCGGCGGCCCCAGGCCAAACCCGGCGCGCUAGGGGGCGCUGGGGAAACUGAUUUUGGCGUGAAUGGGAAUCGGCCCGCCGAGUCAGCGACACGCUGCUUCAUCGUCCUCAUCACCUCCCUGAAUUUUUGGCAUUAAACCAAUUAGCCUCCUAAUCCCCCCCCCCUGAAUUUUUGGCAUCAAACCAAUUAGACUCCUAAUCUCCACCCCCUCCCCCUCCCCCAACCUUUUGUGUGAUUGGCAACGAAAAUUGUUAUGCAACCAAUCUCUAAACAUUUAACACUUGCCAAAAUUUGGCAUGCUAAUUUUGAGCAUCAAACUAAUUAGCCUCCUAAUCUUCACCCCUAAGUUUUUGUGUGAUUGACAACAAAAAUUGGUAUGCAACCAUUCUCUUGCCAACAUUUAACAGUUGCCAAAAUUUGGCAUGUCAAUUUUUGGCAUCAAACCAACUAGCCUCCUAAUCUCUGCCCCCAACCAGUUGUGUGAUUGGCAACAAAAAUGGGUAUGCAACCAAUCUCUAGUCAACAUUUAACAGUUGCCAAAAAUUUGGCAUGCCAUUUUUUGGCAUCAAACCUAUUACCCUCCUAAUCUUCAUCUCUAACUUUCUGUGUGAUUGGCAACGAAAAUUGGUAUGCAACCAUUCUCUUGCCAACAUUUAACAGUUGCCAAAAUUUGGCUUGCCAAUUUUUGGCAUCAAACUAAUUAGCCUCCUAAUCUCCGCCCCCAACCUAUUGUGUGAUUGACAACGAAAAUGGGUAUGCAACCAAUCUCUAGCCAACAUUUAACAGUUGCCAAAAUUUGGCAUGCCAAUUUUUGGCAUCAAACCAAUUAGCAUCCUAAUCUCUACCCCAAAUUGUUUGUGUGGUUGACAACGAAAAUUAAUAUGAAACGAAUCUCUAACCAACAUUUAAUAGUUGCCAAAAUUUGACACUGUCAAUUUUUGACAUCAAACCAAUUAGCUUCCUAAUCUCCACCCUCCUCCCAAUUUUCAGGGGGAUGUGGGCCCCUCGUCAUUCUUUCUUCCAAUCAAUGGCUUCCAAUCAUAAGGUCCUUGCCAGUCACUUUAUAAACCCCCGACGACCGUCGACGAGCAGCAGCACCUCGUCGGUGAGCGAGCUAGCUGAACCUCCAGCCGAGACGAUGGAUAUCUCACUACCCCUCCUCCUCCUAGCCGGCAUCCUCAUCCCCGUCAUCUCGUACCUGCUGGUGACGAACCGCAGCACUGAGGAAGGGCGGCUGAAGCUGCCGCCGGGCCCGAAGCGGGUGCCGGUGCUCGGCAACCUGCACCAACUGGGCCCUCUACCGCAUCGCAACCUGCGCGACCUGGCCGGGCGGCACGGCCCCGUCAUGCUACUCCGCCUCGGCGCGAUGACGAUGGUGGUGGUCUCGUCCGCGGCUGCGGCGCGCGACGUCAUGAAGGCCCAUGACGCCGACUGUUGCAGCCGCCCCGCGUCGCCGGGACCCGCGCGGCUCUCCUACGGGCGCAAGAGCGUCUCCUUCUCGCCAUACGGCGCCUACUGGCGCGACAUGCGCGGACUCUUCGCCGCGGAGCUCCUCGGCGCGCGCGGUGUCGAAGCCUCCUGGGCCGCACGGCGGGAGCAGGUGGACAGGCUCAUGGCCGCCCUGGGCGACGCUGCGGGGCCGGUGUCGUUGGACGAGCACGUGUUCCGUGUCGCCGAUGGCGUGAUCGCCACGGUGGCGUACGGGAGUGUGUACGGCGCGGAGGCGUUCGCGGGCAAGUACGAGCGGUUCCAGCACGUGCUACAGGAGGCCGUGGACAUGUCGGCCAGCUUCUCCGCCGAGGACUUCUUCCCCAACACCGCCGGCCGCUUCCUCGACCGGCUCGCCGGCAUCAUCGCGCGCCGGGAGAGGAUCUUCAGAGACCUCGACGGCUUCUUCGAGGAAGUGCUGGAGCAGCAUCGAGACCCCACGCGCCCCAGGCCGGAGAGCGGCGGCGGCGACCUGGUGGAUGCCCUCGUCAGAAUCUGCGAGGAGCACGGCUUCACGAGGGACCACGUCAAGGCUGUCCUCCUGGACGCGUUCAUCGGCGGCAUCGACACGAGCUCUGUGACGAUCCUGUGGGCGAUGUCGGAGCUGAUCCGGAAGCCGCAGGUGCUGAAGAAAGCGCAGGAGGAGAUCAGGGCCGUGGUCGCCGGCAACGAGCAGCGGGUGCAAUCGGACGACCUGCCGAAGCUGACCUACCUGAAGAUGGUCGUCAAAGAGACCCUGCGGCUGCACCCACCGAUUACGCUGCUUCUGCCGCGGGAGACGCUUCGGAGGGUGGAGAUCGGCGGCUACAACGUGCCAGCGGGGUCGCGGGUGCUCGUGAACGCGUGGGCCAUCGGGAGGGACCCCGCGAGCUGGGGGCAGGACGCGGAGGAGUUCAAGCCGGAGAGGUUCGAGGCCGGCGGGAGGCACGACAAGGUGGACUUCCGUGGCGCUCACUUGGAACUGAUGCCGUUCGGCGCCGGCCGGCGAAUCUGCCCCGCACUGGUCAUGGGGGUGGCGAACGUGGAGUUCACGUUGGCCAACAUGUUGUAUGGCUUUGAGUGGGAGCUGCCGAAGGGGACGUUGGCCGAGAAGGUGAGCAUGGAGGAGGCCGGUAGGCUGACCUUCCACCGCAAGACGCCGCUGGUGCUCGUGCCUACCCCAUACGUAGUGUGACAAGCUCUGCUGCUCUGGUAGUGGUAUAUCGAGUUAUACAUCUGGCAAAUAUAUCUUGAGUGAAUUUAGUUGAACAAAUGAAGAAAAUUGAUACAUGCGCGCGUCUUUGGCUGGUAACAUGAAUCACUCUUUUUUAUGUUUUGAGUUCCAGCACAAAUUUGCUCCGAGUUUAUACAUCGGGUCUUGCGACAUUAUGGCCAGAACUUGAACUUACACCGUCAUUUGGGAGAAAAAUUGAAGUGAUAAUUACACUGUCAUUACAGUGUACUAACAAUGAUAUCUUGAGAGUUACAGUCUAGAUACAUACAAUUCAAAGUUAAAAUUAGCACUGAAACUUCUAAAAUUAUAGUGUAUUUUACAUACGUACUGUUUGUAAAUUACACUUAUAGAUAAUCUGUGAUUACAGUGUAUUUACGCAGAACUUACACUGAUACUGUGUAAAUAUUAGAGUGGCAUUACUGGACUUCCAAAAAAUACAGUGAAAAUAUUACAAUGGCCAAACCGAUUGCACUCAUGACCCACUUCCAAAACAACAAAACAGUGGUACAUGAAAACAAAGUAGAGCACAACAAAAAUGUAGAACAAAAAUGGCACUGUGAUUACAUGAGUACGCUUUCAAAUUAUGAAAAAACUGCUGCAUAUUAGCACAACAAGAACUGCAGAUUGCCACUGUAAAAGAACUGUAGAGUACCACUGUAAAUUAGUGUAAUUUUGUCAAGCCUUAUUUGUAAUUUAUAGUAGUACAUUUACAGUUUUACGGUGGAAUGACAGUGUAAAUGUGCAGUUGAAUUACGCUGUAAAUCUGUAGGUUUGCAGUUUUCACACUAAGAGAGUGCUAUCAUCUAACUUUGACAAACCCCAAAACUAUAUAGAAAAAUGAUGUUACCCAACAAAGACAAACCAACCUAACAAAAAACAAAAAAUGCACUGAAAAAUACGUUGUAACUGCUGCGACUUACAGUGAGUUGCACAAGAAUCACAGUGUAAUUUCCUUGUGAUUUACACAGUAUCAGUGAACCACAGAUAGCAACCAAAGUUGAGGAUCCGGCAAUAGCAUGGUGUGAACCACACAUAAAUGAUAGAUCAAAUUUAACUAAGUAAUUGCAUGCACGCACCGAGAGAUCUUGAAGUAGGAAGAUGAGCUAUUGCUGUGGAUACGUACUAACCUGGUUCGACAGCCAUUGCAAUUCCCCGAAUCAAUCCACCUGAAUCAGGCUCCAGCACCAUAGAUGAGGCCUGUGGAUUACAACGAACAUGAACAAAGGGGAAAUGAGGUUGUACAAAUUUACCAACAUAAAUACCAUUAACAGGUGCUUUGCUCUAUGGUUUUUCUGUUCCCUCAUUUUGAACGCUGGGCUUAUAAUUUAGUUCUGAUGAAUAAUUCAAUUUUGAAAAUCACUCGCUACAAUCAAUCAAAAUACAUGCACCAAAUGAGAACUAAGAAAAGUAUCAUACCUUCACAUUUGCAUUCCUACAAAGUGAGGCAUGCCCAAAUACAGAGGGGACUUGAAAAUUAUAGGACAAACAAGAAUUGAUCUGUGAUGAAAGAAAUACCUUCAAAUAGAUGACUCUGAUAUGCACCGUCCUCACGUCGUUCAUUUAGAAUAGAAAAGCUGAAUAGAUGGUGGUUACUCUAAGUCAACUCUGGACUGUGUGAAAGAAUAUUAGACCCGAGUAAAUAAUCUCACACUGUAACAAUUAGAACUAUGAGCAAUUUGAAGAUGUUGUGUUUAAGCAUAUUAAUCUCAGCCAAGAAAUCAUUGAAGGUGAAAGCAGUGACUCACCUUGCAAUGCAGCUGAAUCAGCCAACCAAUUGGAACUGAGGUCUAAUUGAUCAAGCUAGAGAACCUGCGUUUAUUUGAGAGCACAAAGAACAAUAUCAAUAGAAAUAUAAUCUGUAAUGCAGAAUUGGGGGGAAUGGUGGAGGGACCAUCGGCAGAAGAGGGAAGACAAGUGACCUGAGUGUCAACCAUGGCUGUCGUUUAAGGUUUUGUAGAAGCAGGAGCGAAGAGGGUAGACAGUGGACAUUAUAUGGACGCGAGAUUAAAGGAGGAGCGUGAACCGACAAUGUAACUGACCUGAACACAUCGAUUGCCAUUACUGGCCUCUUGUAACCGUGAUUCAAUUACUGAAACGACGGAGUCGAAUCGACAAUGGACGGUCUGCUGCCUUGGGAACUGUCUGCGUUCCACAUUUCUGGCCGUCGGAUCACAUGCGCUGGACGUUUCUUGCCGUUCGUUCAAUCUAAUCCCACUUGGGCCCCAAAGAGGCAAACUGUCUGAUGGAUGCUACUCCGGUAGAAAAAAACGGAGCCAUGUGGUUGAUGGGGCCAAAAAUAAGCCCAUGUAGCAGGGGGCUACGAUCGGAAUAGCAACAUGUAAAGAUGCAUUUGGAAAACAGGUGUUGUGCUGAAAUUUUUCGAGUUUGCUUCCCUUUGUCAAAAAAUUAUGAGAAUGCAAAUAAGCUGCAGCUUGAAAAGGAAUUUGGUAAGCUACAAUAUGUAUUGUAAUCAAGCUGCAGUUUACUUACUAUGGAGAGCCUGGAUUGCAUCUAGAUAAGUUUCUUCUUCAUUUAAGUUGAUUCAAUAUGCAAACUUAGAGCCCAGUAGAUCAGUUCUACUUUAUAUAUGACAAAUAUUAGCACCAACUUGUGAAAAUGAGGGGCACAUUGAUGCACACGAUCAAUUCUGUUCGUCUAAACAUAUACUCCAUCUGUUAAGUAAUAUAAGACGUUUUAGAUCAGUAAAGUAGUAAUCUAAAAUGUCUUGCAUUAUUUUACAGCAGAGUAUAUAAUGUAAUACCCAUUAUUUCUUAUUUUCAUUGUUACCACCAAUUUUGUCAUGGAGGUGAUUAUUUUGUAAAAUUACAAAGAACAUGCGCAAAUCAUGUCUAAUUGCUCAAAAAGCGUCAAUGGAUUACAACUAAUUAUUUGUCAGAGAAAGCAAACACUUGAGAGCAAAUGAUUUCCUAAUGUGAUACUCUAAUUGUAUUGGAAACUUAAUUCAUCCUCAUGCACUUCAAAAUAUUUUGCGUUAGAGUUUUAUGACUUAUUUUUCACGCGACAUCUUUUUAUAUACAUCGAAGGGGACGGCAGUGUUCCUAUGUUGAGCCUAGCCUGCCAGCAGUUACAAGCAUGUGAUGGCGUGCCUACGUGCCUGAUGAUCACUGAGCAAAGUAAAAACCCUUAUGUACAAUGGUUCACGCUAUGCCCUCCCAAGCAAUGAGCAAAGUAGGUGUCUUGGUAUACAAUGUUUUUAUUGGGUCAUGUCGUAACACUUGUGUGUUUCUGGUGUAUUUUGCACAAUGUUGUUAACUAGUAAACUUGCACAUGCAAUGCACGUAUCCGCCCAAAGAAAAUCCUUGCUCAUAGAACCCUUUUAAGCCAUCUAUGCUCAUAAAACCCUUCUAGGCCAUCUAUAUUCUAUUGUCUGGAGAACAACAUGCCAUGUAUAUUGGCUAUUGCAGAAGUUAAAAGAGUUGGCUAGAGACAACUUUGCUAAAUUCAGCAAUAUAUAUGUGUGUCUUAGGGCAAUCUCCAAUGCACCUCAUCAUUGUUAGCAAGUGGAACCACUAUGCAGCCACUGUGUUUAGGUAAUUAGGAAAAAAAGAAUAUAUAUGAUUAAACAUGCUGACUGCCACCACGAGGGCCUUGCUUGGGUCGACUGUUUUCGCCCGGCUGGCCAUAUGUGACACUUUGCGUCCUCUGUGCCCUGUGCCUUGCUAUGUACUCUCUCCUUCCAUAUAUCUCUUUUGCCCCUUGUAAUACCCCCUGACCAUCCUGGCAAUUUGGGCAUUUUAAAAUUCAAAAAGUUAUAUUGGAUUUACAAUGGGAUCACCAAUCGGAAAAUUAUGAUUUACUCAACUAUUGAUUCAACAUCACUCGGCAACAUAAUGGGCGUGGUAGGCGAAAAAAUAUAACAACCUGAAUUGUAAUGAACAAAGGAUCUAGCUGACAAUGUUAAGUGGGCACAAGGACAACUGAAUCUUCAGAAUUAGUGAUUGCAGCAAUAUAACAUGACAUAGAAAACAAUAAUCAACCUGACCCUACUUCCUAGUUUGAUUUCAACAAAGUAUUAGAAGAGUCAUGUUAAAUUGAAUUUUGAACUAUACCAUAUGAAAAGCCGACCGAGGCUAAUUGCCCAUCUUGUAGUUUCAUGUAAAAUUUAUACAGAAAGUUCAUCAGAAAAUUUGGUGCCCAUUUUUCUAGCAAAAUUGAUCAAAUAGAAAGAAGGCAAGCUAACUGCUAUAGGUCAAUCAAAAGCUUACACACCAUGUUUCAAGAAAACAUAGAAAUAAUCCAAUUGAGUAGCAUCAAACAAAUGAAAGCUUGCAGUCGAGUGAUACAGAUAUGGUGGAUGAUUGCAUAUAACUAAAACAUGUAACAUAAGGGAAAGAGUUUUGUAAAGAAUGCACAUAACCUAUUUAAUCGUAUUCCUUCUACUCUUACAUCCAAACGUUACACAAUCCGUGUGGAAAGAACUGAUAAUAAAUUCAUACAUGACAUGCUAUGUGUAAGCUAUAUAUGAAACAAGAUCAAGAUUCAAAGAGGUAUAUGUUAUAUUUGUAAGAAAUUGUCUACCUUUAAUUAUAAUUCACAAAAUACCCGAUUCAAGUGACUACCUUGAUUGAAGAACUAACUGGUUACAGAUUUAACAACUGACAUUCCUAUCCACCCUUGCUUCCCUUGAGUCUUGACAUAGACAAUAUUCAUCUUACAAACAAGAAAUAGCUUUAUAAGGAGGUAACACUUAGGAUCAAAAGCUUGCAGAUCAAAUUCUAUAGAGCUUAAAAAAAAUCUUGGCAGACAACAUGGGCACAGCUCUCUAUCUAAAACCAUUCUUAAGAGAACAGAAAAACACUAGUAGAAAAGGGGGCAAAGGUCCAGGUCGGGUCAGCCCAUUAGUCCCGGUUCAGUCCAGAACCGGGACCAAUGGUGGCAUUGGACCCGAUUCGUGAGCCCAGGGGCCGGCCGGGCCAUGUGGGCCAUUGGUCCCGGUUUGUCUGGACCUUUUGGUCCUGGUUGGUGGGACGAACCGGGACCAAUGGGCCUCGCUCCUGGCCCACCACCAUUGGUCCCGGUUGGUGGCUUGAACCGGGACCAAAGGCUCCCCUUUAGUCCCGGUUCAUGCCACCAACCGGGACAAAUGAGGUGCCUAUAUAAACCCCCUCGCGUAAGAGCAGAGCACAUUGCUCUGUUUUUUCUGGCCGAGGGGGAGAGGGCUUGGUGGUGCUCUAGCUCAUCUCCUAUGCACACAAGGUGUUCGAUGAAAUGCCCGAGCCACACUACUUAAGCUUUCUCCUCUCCAAGCUCGACCUCCAAGCUCCAUUUUCCUCAAUAUUUGUCUAGGUUUAGCGGCCCGUCAUGCCCCGUCCCCGUCUUUGUUGGGGAACGUAGUAAUUUCAAAAAAAUUCCUACGCACACGCAAGAUCAUGAUGAUGCAUAGCAACAAGAGGGGAGAGUGUGAUCUAUGUACCUUUGUAGAUCGACAACGGAAGCGUUAACUUGGUUGAUGUAGUCGUACGUCUUCACGGCCCGACCGAUCAAGCACCGAAACUAUGACACCUCCGAGUUCUUGCACACGUUCAGCUCGAUGACGAUCCCCGGACUCCGAUCCAGCAAAGUGUCGGGGAAGAGUUCCGUCAGCACGACGGCGUGGUGACGAUCUUGAUGUUCUACCGUCACAGGGCUUCGCCUAAGCACCGCUACAAUAUUAUCGAGGAUUAUGGUGGAAGGGGGCACCGCACACGGCUAAGAAUAAGAUCACGUGGAUCAACUUGUGUGUCUAGGGGUGCCCCCUGCCCCCGUAUAUAAAGGAUCAAGGGGAGGAGGCCGGCCGGCCACAUAUGGCGCGCCAAGGAGGAGUCCUCCUCCUAGUAGGAGUAGGACUCCUACUAGGAGGGGGAAAGAAGUGGGGAGGGAGAAGGAAAGAGGGGGCGCCGCCCCCCCUCUCCUAGUCCAAUUCAGACCAGGGGGAGGAGGCGCGCGGCCCACCUUUGGCUGCCCCCCUCUCUCUCCACUAAGGCCCAUAUGGCCCAUUACUUCUCCCAGGGGGGUUCCGGUAACCCUCCGGCUCUCCGGUUUUUCUCCGAAAUCACCCGGAACACUUCCGGUGUCCGAAUAUAGCCGUCCAAUAUAUCAAUCUUUAUGUCUCGACCAUUUCGAGACUCCUCGUCAUGUCCGUGAUCACAUCCGGGACUCCGAACAAACUUCGGUACAUCAAAAUGCAUAAACUCAUAAUAUAACUGUCAUCGAAACCUUAAGCGUGCGGACCCUACGGGUUCGAGAACAAUCUAGACAUGACCGAGACACGUCUCCGGUCAAUAAUCAAUAGCGGGACCUGGAUGCCCAUAUUGGUUCCUACAUAUUCUACGAAGAUCUUUUAUCGGUCAGACCGCAUAACAACAUACGCUGUUCCCUUUGUCAUUGGUAUGUUACUUGCCCGAGAUUCGAUCGUCGGUAUUCUAUACCUAGUUCAAUCUCGUUACCGGCAAGUCUCUUUACUCGUUCUGUAAUACAUCAUCCCACAACUAACUCAUUAGUUGCAAUGCUUGCAAGGCUUAAGUGAUGUGCAUUACCGAGAGGGCCCAGAGAUACCUCUCCGACAAUCGGAGUGACAAAUCCUAAUCUCGGAAUACGCCAACCCAACAUGUACCUUUGGAGACACCUGUAGAGCUCCUUUAUAAUCACCCAGUUACGUUGUGACGUUUGGUAGCACACAAAGUGUUCCUCUGGCAAACGGGAGUUGCAUAAUCUCAUUAGUCAUAGGAACAUGUAUAAGUCAUGAAGAAAGCAAUAGCAACAUACUAAACGAUCGGGUGCUAAGCUAAUGGAAUGGGUCAUGUCAAUCAGAUCAUUCAACUAAUGAUGUGAUCCCGUUAAUCAAAUAACAACUCUUUGUCCAUGGUUAGGAAACAUAACCAUCUUUGAUUAACGAGCUAGUCAAGUAGAGGCAUACUAGUGACACUCUGUUUGUCUAUGUAUUCACACAUGUAUUAUGUUUCCGGUUAAUACAAUUCUAGCAUGAAUAAUAAACUUUUAUCAUGAUGUAAGGAAAUAAAUAAUAACUUUAUUAUUGCCUCUAGGGCAUAUUUUCUUCAGUCUUCACCGCCGUCGAUCACCCACGCCGAGCUCAUCGCCGGCACCACCGUGGUGAGCCUCUUGUUCUUAUCUUCUUUCUGAAAGGAAAAAAUAUUCUUACUUGUAUGUUUACAUAGAUACUUGUAUUAUUUUUUUACUUUUAUUAUUGCAUCUUAUAUAGUGCGAUGGUUUUGGUAUCCGCCCCCGUCGUCCCUCGUCCUGUCUAUGAUUCGGAUGUGGUAUAUAUAUUAUGUUUAUAACUAUUGGUUCAUUUAUUGUUUAUGAAAAUUAUGCCGACCAACGUGACAUAGAUUUUUUUAUGUAGGAUGUAUGUGAAUCGGAAAUUCCAGCCGAUCCUAUUGUCGAGAGAUUAAAUUUAGUUGAAGAAUAAAACGAUUUGUUGAAGGAAAAAAUAAUAAAAAUUGAGGAGGAGAAGAUGAUAUUGGAGUUGCAUGUUGCGGAUGUCGUCGAUGAUCACAAGAUCAAGAUGGAUGCAAUGCGCUUGAAGAUUAGAAAGAUUAGAAAAUAUGCCAUUCAUACCGAGGCUUGGUAUCAUUAUGCCGUUGGAUCAAUUGUUACCUUGGUUGCGAUUAUGAUCGCAUUUGUUUUCACAUUGAAAUGUUUUACAUAGUUUCAAUGUAUGGUUUAAUUAAUUAGAUGCUCUGAAGAGCUAUAUGUUGUUAGAUGAGAACUAUGUAUGUACUUUGGUUUUAAUGUGAUGAUGAACUUCUAUUAAUUUGGACACUUAAUUAUAUAUAACGCACGCAGAUGAACCGUCAAUGGAUGUACGGUGACAGACACGCCUCCGAGUACAUUAAGGGCGUGCAUGAGUUUCUCGAUGCGACUGAGGCAAACAAGCAGAAUGGUUUUAUAUGUUGUCCAUGCACUGAAUGUGGGAAUACGCGGUCUUAUUCUAACCGGAAAAUCCUUCACUCCCACCUGCUUUACAAGGGUUUCAUGACACACUAUAAUGUUUGGACGAGGCACAAAGAAAUAGGGGUUAUGAUGGAAGACGGCGAAGAAGAAGAGUACGAUGACAAGUAUGUGCCCCCUGAAUACAGUGAUGCUGCAACAGGGGGAGCUGGUGAAGAUCAAGAGGAACCAGACGAUGUGCCCAAUGAUGCUGCAACAGGUGAAGCUGCUAAAGAUCAAGAGGAACCAGAUGAUGUGCCCAAUGAUGACGAUCUCCGCCGGGUCAUUGUCGAUGCAAGGACGCAAUGCGAAAGUCAAAAGGAGAAGCUGAAGUUCGAUCGCAUGUUAGAGAAUCACAAAGAAGGGUUGUACCCCAAUUGCGAAGAUGGCAACACAAAGCUCGGUACGGUACUGGAAUUGCUGCAAUGGAAGGCAGAGAAUGCUGUGGCUGACAAAGGAUUUGAGAAGCUACUGAAAAUAUUGAAGAAGAAGCUUCCAAAGGAUAACGAAUUGCCUGACAGUACAUACGCAGCAAAGAAGGUCGUAUGCCCUCUAGGAUUGGAGGUGGAGAAGAUACAUGCAUGCCCUAAUGACUGCAUCCUCUACCGCGGUGCAUACAAGGAUCUGAACGCAUGCCCGGUAUGCGGUGCAUUGCGGUAUAAGAUCAGACGAGAUGCCCCUGGUGAUGUUGACGGCGAGCCCCCCCAGGAAGAGGGUUCCUGCGAAGGUGAUGUGGUAUGCUCCUAUAAUACCACGGUUGAAACGUUUGUUCAAAAACGAAGAGCAUGCCAAGUUGAUGCGAUGGCACAGUGAGGACCAUAAGAAAGACGGGAAGUUGAGAGCACCCGCUAACGGGUCGCAGUGGAGAAAAGUCGAGAGAAAGUACUGGGAUGAGUUUGCAAAGGACCCAAGGAACGUAUGGUUUGCUUUAAGCACGGAUGGCAUUAAUCCUUUUGGGGAGCAGAGCAGCAAUCACAGCACCUGGCCCGUGACUCUAUGUAUGUAUAACCUUCCUCCUUGGAUGUGCAUGAAGCGGAAGUUCAUUAUGAUGCCAGUUCUCAUCCAAGGCCCUAAGCAACCCGGCAACGACAUUGAUGUGUACCUAAGGCCAUUAGUUGAAGAACUUUUACAGCUGUGGAAUGGAAAUGGUGUACGUACGUGGGAUGAGCACAUACAGGAGGAAUUUAACCUAAAGGCGUUGCUGUUCGUGACCAUCAACGAUUGGCCUGCUCUCAGUAACCUUUCAGGACAGACAAACAAAGGAUACCACGCAUGCACACACUGUUUAGAUGACACUGAAAGUAUAUACCUGGACAAAUGCAGGAAGAAUGUGUACCUGGGCCAUCGUCGAUUUCUUCCGACCAACCAUCAAUGUCUAAAGAAAGGCAAGCAUUUCAAAGGCGAGACAGAUCACCGGAAGAAGCCCGCCAUGCGUACCGGUGAUCACGUACUUGCUAUGGUCAAUGAUUUACACGUAAUAUUUGGAAAGGGUCCCGGUGGACUAGCUGUUCCUAAUGACGCUGAGGGACACACACCCAUGUGGAAGAAGAAAUCUAUAUUUUGGGACCUACCCUACUGGAAAGACCUAGAGGUCCUCUCUUCAAUCGACGUGAUGCACGUGACGAAGAACCUUUGCGUGAACCUGCUAGGCUUCUUGGGUGUGUAUGGGAACACAAAAGAUACACCCGAGACACGGGAGGACCUACAACGUUUGCACAAAAAAGAUAGCAUGCCUCCGAAGCAGUAUAAAGGUCCUGCCAGCUACGCUCUUACGAAAGAAGAGAAAGAAAUCUUCUUUGAAUGCCUGCUCGAUAUGAAGGUCACGACUGGCUUCUCAUCGAAUAUAAAGGGAAUAAUAAAUAUGCUAGAGAAAAAGUUUCAGAACCUAAAGUCUCAUGACUGCCACGUGAUUAUGACGCAACUGCUUCCGGUUGCAUUGAGGGGGCUUCUACCGGAAAACGUCCGAUUAGCCAUUGUGAAGCUAUGUGCAUUCCUCAAUGCAAUCUCUUAGAAGGUGAUCGAUCCAGAAAUCAUACCAAGGCUAAGGAGUGAUUGUUGGGGCAUGUAGUAAUUUCAAAAAAAUUCCUACGCACACGCAAGAUCAUGGUGAUGCAUAGCAACGAGAGGGGAGAGUGUUGUCUACGUACCCUCGUAGAUCGACAGCGGAAGCGUUAUGACAACGCGGUUGAUGUAGUCAUACGUCUUCACGGCCCGACCGAUCAAGCACCAAAACUAUGGCACCUUCGAGUUUUAGCACACGUUCAGCUCGAUGACGAUCCCCGGACUCCGAUCCAGCAAAGUGUCGGGGAAGAGUUCCGUCAGCACGACGGCGUGGUGAUGAUCUUGAUGAUCUACCGUCGCAGGGCUUCGCCUAAGUACUGCUACAAUAUUAUCGAGGAGUAUGGUGGAAGGGAGCACCGCACAUGGCUAAGAAAAUGAUCACGAGGAUCAACUUGUGUGUCUAGAGGUGCCCCCUUGCCCCCGUAUAAAGGAGCAAAGGGGGGAGGCCGGCCGGCCCUUGGGCGCGCAUAGGAGGAGGAGUCCUCCUCCUAGUAGGAGUAGGACUCCCCUCUUUCCUACUCCUACUAGGAGGGGGAAAGGAAAGGGGAGAGGCAGAAGGAAAGGGGGGCGUCGCCCCCCCUCUCCUAGUCCAAUUCGGACCAGAGGGGGAGGUGGCGCGCGGCCCACCCUGGCCGCCCCUCUCUCUCUCUCUCUCUCCACUAGGGCCCACCCUGGCACUCCGGUUUUCUCCGAAAUCACCCGGAACACUUCCAGUGUCCGAAUAUAGCUGUCCAAUAUAUCAAUCUUUAUGUCUCGACCAUUUCAAGACUCCUCGUCAUGUCCGUGAUCAUAUCCGGGACUCCGAACAAACUUCGGUACAUCAAAAUAUAUAAACUCAUAAUGAAACUGUCAUCGUAACGUUAAGCGUGCGGACCCUACGGGUUCGAGAACAAUGUAGACAUGACCGAGACAUGUCUCCGGUCAAUAACCAAUAGCGGAACCUGGAUGCUCAUAUUGGUUCCCACAUAUUCUACGAAGAUCUUUAUCGGUCAGACCGCAUAACAACAUACUUUGUUCCCUUUGUCAUCGGUAUGUUACUUGCCCGAGAUUCGAUCGUCGGUAUCUCAAUACCUAGUUCAAUCUCGUUACCGGCAAGUCUCUUUACUCGUUUCGUAAUACAUCAUCUUGCAACUAUCUCAUUAGUUGCAAUGCUUGCAAGGCUUAUGUGAUGUGCAUUACCAAGAAGGCCCAGAGAUACCUCUCCGACAAUCGGAGUGACAAAUCCUAAUCUCGAAAUACGCCAACCCAACAUGUACCUUUGGAGACACCUGUAGAGCUCCUUUAUAAUCACCCAGUUACAUUGUGACGUUUGGUAGCACACAAAGUGUUCCUCUGGUAAACGGGAGUUGCAUAAUCUCAUAGUCAUAGGAACAUGUAUAAGUCAUGAAGAAAGCAAUAGCAACAUACUAAACGAUCGGGUGCUAAGCUAAUGGAAUGGGUCAUGUCAAUCACAUCAUUCUUCUAAUGAUGUGAUCCCGUUAAUCAAAUGACAACACAUGUCUAUGGUUAGGAAACAUAACCAUCUUUGAUUAACGAGCUAGUCAAGUAGAGGCACACUAGUGACGUUUAGUUUGUCUAUGUAUUCACACAAGUAUUAUGUUUCCGGAUAAUACAAUUCUAGCAUGAAUAAUAAACUUUUAUCAUGAUAUAAGGAAAUAAAUAAUAACUUUAUUAGUGCCUCUAGGGCAUAUUUCCUUCAGUCUCCCACUUGCACUAGAGUCAAUAAUCUAGAUUACACAGUAAUGAUUCUAACACCCAUGGAGCUUUGGUGCUGAUCAUGUUUUGCUCGUGGAAGAGGCUUAGUCAAUGGGUCUGCUACAUUCAGAUCCGUAUGUAUCUUACAAAUCUCUAUGUCUCCCACCUGGACUAGAUCCCGGAUGGAAUUGAAGCGUCUCUUGAUGUGCUUGGUUCUCUUGUGAAAUCUGGAUUCCUUUGCCAAGGCAAUUGCACCAGUAUUGUCACAAAAGAUUUUCAUUGGACCUGAUGCACUAGGUAUGACACCUAGAUCGGAUAUGAACUCUUUCAUCUAGACUCCUCCGUUUGCUGCUUCCGAAGCAGCUAUGUACUCCACUUCACAUGUAGAUCCCGCCACAACGCUUUGUUUAGAACUGCACCAACUGACAACUCCACCGUUUAAUGUAAACACGUAUCCGGUUUGCGAUUUAGAAUCGUCCGGAUCAGUGUUAAAGCUUGCAUCAACGUAACCCUCUUUGUCACCUCCAUAUAUGAGAAACAUAUCCUUAGUCCCUUUCAGGUAUUUCAGGAUGUUCUUGACCGCUAUCCAGUGAUCCACUCCUGGAUUACUUUGGUACCUCCCUGCUAGACUUAUAGCAAGACAUACAUCAGGUCUGGUACACAGCAUUGCAUACAUGAUAGAGCCUAUGGCUGAAGCAUAGGGAACAUCUUUCAUUUUCUCUCUAUCUUCUGCAGUGGUCGGGCAUUGAGUCUUACUCAAUUUCACCUGCAAGAAUCCUUUCUUUGCUUGAUCCAUUUUGAACUUCUUGAAAACUUUGUCAAGGUAUGUGCUUUGUGAAAGUCCAAUUAAGUGUCUUGAUCUAUCUCUAUAGAUCUUAAUGCCCAAUAUGUAAGCAGCUUCACCGAGGUCUUUCAUUGAAAAACUCUUAUUCAAGUAUCCCUUUAUGCUAUCCAGAAAUUCUAUAUCAUUUUUGAUUAGUAAUAUGUCAUCUACACAUAAUAUCAGAAAUGCUACAGAGCUCCCACUCACUUUCUUGUAAAUACAGGCUUCUCCAAAAGUCUGUACAAAACCAAAUGCAUUGAUCACAUUAUCAAAGCGUUUAUUCCAACUCCGAGAGGCUUGCACCAGUCCAUAAAUGGAUCGCUGGAGCUUGCACACUUUGUUAGCUCCCUUUGGAUCGACAAAACCUUCUUGCUGCAUCAUAUACAACUCUUCUUCCAGAAAUCCAUUCAGGAAUGCAGUUUUGACAUCCAUCUGCCAAAUUUCAUAAUCACAAAAUGCGGCAAUUGCUAACAUGAUUCGGACAGACUUAAGCAUCGCUACGGGUGAGAAGGUCUCAACGUAGUCAAUCCCUUGAACUUGUCGAAAACCUUUUGUGAAAAGUCGAGCUUUGUAGACAGUAACAUUACCGUCAACGUCAGUCUUCUUCUUGAAGAUCCAUUUAUUCUCAAUUGCUUGCCGAUCUUUGGGCAAGUCAACCUAAGUCCACACUUUGUUCUCAUACAUGGAUCCCAUCUCAGAUUUCAUGGCUUCAAGCCAUUUUGCGGAAUUUGGGCUCACCAUCGCUUCUCCAUAGUUCGUAGGUUCAUCAUGAUCUAGUAGCAUGACUUCCAGAAUAGGAUUACCGUACCACUCUGGUGCGGAUCUUACUCUGGUUGAUCUACGAGAUUCAGUAGUAUCUUGUUCUGAAGUUUCAUGAUCAUCAUCAUUACCUUCCUCACUAAUUGGUGUAGGUGUCACAGAAACCGGUUUCUGUGAUGUAAUACUUUCCAAUAAGGGAGCAGGUAUAGUUACCUCAUCAAGUUCUACUUUCCUCCCACUCACUUCUUUUGAGAGAAACUCCUUCUCUAGAAAGUUUCCGAAUUUAGCAACAAAAGUCUUGCCUUCGGAUCUGUGAUAGAAGGUGUAUCCAACAGUUUCCUUUGGAUAUCCUAUGAAGACACAUUUCUCUGAUUUGGGCUCGAUCUUAUCGGGAUGAAGCUUUUUCACAUAAGCAUCGCAACCCCAAACUUUCAGAAACGACAACUUUGGUUUCUUGCCAAACCACAGUUCAUAAGGCGUCGUCUCAACGGAUUUUGAUGGUUCCCUAUUUAAUUUGAAUGCGGUCGUCUCUAAAGCAUAACCCCAAAAUGAUAGCGGUAAAUCAGUAAGAGACAUCAUAGAUCGCACCAUAUCUAGUAAAGUACGAUUAUGAUGUUCGGACACACCAUUACGCUGUGGUGUUCCGGGUGGCGUGAGUUGCGAAACUAUUCCGCAUUGUUUCAAAUGUACACCAAACUCAUAACUCAAAUAUUCUCCUCCACGAUCAGAUCGUAGGAAUUUUAUUUUCUUGUUACGAUGAUUUUCAACUUCACUCCAAAAUUCUUUAAACUUUUCAAAUGUUUCAGACUUAUGUUUCAUUAAGUAGAUAUACCCAUAUCUGCUUAAGUCAUCUGUGAAGGUGAGAAAAUAACGAUAUCCGCCAUGAGCCUCAACAUUCAUCGGACCACAUACAUCUGUAUGUAUGAUUUCCAACAAAUCUGUUGCUCUCUCCAUAGUACCGGAGAACGGUGUUUUGGUCAUCUUGCCCAUAAGGCACGGUUCCCAAGUACCAAGUGAUUCAUAAUCAAGUGGUUCCAAAAGUCCAUCAGUAUGGAGUUUCUUCAUGCGCUUUACACCGAUAUGACCUAAACGGCAGUGCCACAAAUAAGUUGCACUAUCAUUAUCAACUCUGCAUCUUUUGACUUCAACAUUAUCAAUAUGUGUGUCACUACUAUCGAGAUUUAAUAAGAAUAGACCACUCUUCAAGGGUGCAUGACCAUAAAAGAUAUUACUCAUAUAAAUAGAACAACCAUUAUUCUCUGAUUUAAAUGAAUAACCGUCUCGCAUCAAACAAGAUCCACAUAUAAUGUUCAUGCUCAACGCUGGCACCAAAUAACAAUUAUUUAGGUCUAAUACUAAUCCCGAAGGUAGAUGUAGAGGUACGUGCCGACCGCGAUCACAUCGACUUUGGAACCAUUUCCCACGCGCAUCGUCACCUCGUCCUUAGCCAAUCUUCACUUAAUCCGUAGUCCCUGUUUCGAGUUGCAAAUAUUAGCAACAGAACCAGUAUCAAAUAUCCAGGUGCUACUACGAGCAUUAGUAAGGUACACAUCAAUAACAUGUAUAUCAUAUAUACCUUUGUUCACCUUGCCAUCCUUCUUAUCCGCCAAAUACUUGGGGCAGUUCCGCUUCCAGUGACUAGUCUAUUUGCAGUAGAAGCACUCAGUCUCAGGCUUAGGUCCAGACUUGGGUUUCUUCUCUUGAGCAGCAAUUUGCUUGCUGUUCUUCUUGAAGUUCGCCUUCUUCUUCCCUUUACCCUUUUUCUUGAAACUGGUGAUUUUGUUAACCAUCAACACUUGAUGCUCCUUUUUGAUUUCUACCUCCGCAGCCUUUAGCAUCGCGAAGAGCUCGGGAAUUGUCUUAUUCAUCCCUUGCAUAUUAUAGUUCAUCACGAAGCUUUUGUAGCUUGGUGGCAGUGAUUGGAGAAUUCUGUCAAUGACGCAAUCAUCUGGAAGAUUAACUCCCAAUUGAAUCAAGUGAUUAUUAUACCCAGGCAUGUUGAGUAUAUGCUCACUGACAGAACUAUUCUCCUCCAUCUUGUAGCUAUAGAACUUAUUGGAGACUUCAUAUCUCUCAAUCCGGGCAUUUGCUUGAAAUAUUAACUUCAACUCCUGGAACAUCUCAUAUGCUCCAUGACGUUCAAAACGUCGUUGAGUCCCGAUUCUAAGCCGUAAAGCAUGGCACACUGAACUAUCGAGUAGUCAUCAGCUUUGCUCUGCCAGACAUUCAUAACAUCUGGUGUUGCUCCAGCAGCAGGCCUGGCACCCAGCGGUGCUUCCAGGACGUAAUUCUUCUGUGCAGCAAUGAGGAUAAUCCACAAGUUAUGGACCCAGUCCGUGUAAUUGCUACCAUCAUCUUUCAACUUUGCUUUCUCAAGGAACGCAUUAAAAUUCAACGGAACAACAGCACGGGCCAUCUAUCUACAUUCAAACAUAAACAAGCAAGAUACUAUCAGGUACUAAGUUCAUGAUAAAUUUAAGUUCAAUUAAUCAUAUUACUAAAGAACUCCCACUUAGAUAGACAUCCCUCUAAUCCUCUAAGUGAUUACGUGAUCCAAAUCAACUAAACCAUGUCCGAUCAUCAUGUGAGAUGGAGUAGCUUCAUUGGUGAACAUCACUAUGUUGAUCAUAUCUACUAUAUGAUUCACGCCCGACCUUUCGGUCUCCGUGUUCCGAGGUCAUAUCUGUAUAUGCUUGGCUUGUCAAGUAUAACCUGAGUAUUCCGCGUGUGCAACUGUUUUGCACCCGUUGUAUUUGAACGUAGAGCUUAUCACACCCGAUCAUCACGUGGUGUCUCAGCACGAAGAACUUUCGCAACGGUGCAUACUCAGGGAGAACACUUCUUGAUAAUUAGCGAGAGAUCAUCUUAAAAUGCUACCGUCAAUCAAAGCAAGAUAAGAUGCAUAAAAUAUAAACAUCACAUGCAAUCAAUAUAAGUGAUAUGAUAUGGCCAUCAUUAUCUUGUGCCUGCGAUCUCCAUCUUCGAAGCACCGUCAUGAUCACCAUCAUCACCGGCCCGACACCUUGAUCUCCAUCGUAGCAUCGUUGUUGUCUCGCCAAUCUUAUGCUUCUACGACUAUCGCUACCGCUUAGUGAUAAAGUAAAGCAUUACAGGGCGAUUGCAUUGCAUACAAUAAAGCGACAACCAUAUGGCUCCUGCCAGUUGCCGAUAACUCGGUUACAAAACAUGAUCAUCUCAUACAAUAAAAGUUAGCAUCAUGUAUUGACCAUAUCACAUCACAACAUGCCCUGCAAAAACAAGUUAGACGUCCUCUACUUUGUUGUUGCAAGUUUUACGCGGCUGCUACGGGCUUUAAGCAAGAACCAAUCUUACCUACGCAUCAAAAACCACAACGAUAUUUGUCAAGUUGGUGUUGUUUUAACCUUCGCAAGGACCGGACGUAGCCACACUAGGUUCAACUAAAGUUGGAGAAACUGACACCCGCCAGCCACCUGUGUGCAAACCACGUCGGUAGAACCAGUGUCGCGUAAGCGUACGCGUAAUGUCGGUCCGGGCCGCUUCAUCCAACAAUACCGCCGAACCGAAGUAUGACAUGCUGGUAAGCAGUAUGACUUAUAUCGCCCACAACUCACUUGUGUUCUACUCGUGCACAACAUCAACGCAUAAAACCUAGGCUCGGAUGCCACUGUUGGGGAACGUAGUAAUUUCAAAAGAUUUCCUACGCACACGCAAGAUCAUUGUGAUGCAUAGCAACGAGAGGGGAGAGUGUUGUCUACAUACCCUCGUAGACCGAUAGCGGAAGCGUUAUGACAACGCGGUUGAUGUAGUCGUACGUCUUCACGGCUCGACCGAUCAAGCACCGAAACUACGGCACCUCCGAGUUUUAGCACAUGUUCAGCUCGAUGACGAUCCCCGGACUUCGAUCCAGCAAAGUGUCGGGGAAGAGUUCCAUCAGCACGACAACAUGGUGAUGAUCUUGAUGUUCUACCGUCCCAAGCCUUCGCCUAAGCACCGCUACAAUAUUAUCGAGGAGUAUGGUGGAAGGGAGGACCGCACACGGCUAAGAAAACGAUCACGAGGAUCAACUUGUGUGUCUAGAGGUGCCCCCUUGCCCCCGUAUAUAAAGGAGCAAAGGGGGGAGGCCGGCCAGCCCUUGGGCGCGCCAAGGAGGAGGAGUCCUCCUCCUAGUAGGAGUAGGACUCCCCUCUUUCCUACUCCUACUAGGAGGGGGAAAGGAAAGGGGAGAGGGAGAAGGAAAGGGGGGCGCCGCCCCCCUCUCCUAGUCCAAUUCGAACCAGAGGGGGAGGGGGCGUGCGGCCCACCCUAGCUGCCCCUCUCUCUCUCCAAUAGGGCCCAUAAAGCCCAUUACUUCUCCCGGGGGGUUCCGGUAACCCUUCGGCACUCCGGUUUUCUCCGAAAUCACCCGGAACACUUCCGGUGUCCGAAUAUAGCCGUCCAAUAUAUCAAUCUUUAUGUAUCAACCAUUUCGAGACUCCUCGUCAUGUCCGUUAUCAUAUCCGGGACUCCGAACAAACUUCGGUACAUCAAAAUAUGUAAACUCAUAAUGAAACUGUCAUCGCAACGUUAAGCGUGCGGACCCUAUGGGUUCGAGAACAAUGUAGACAUGACCGAGACAUGUCUCCGGUCAAUAACCAAUAGCGGAACCUGGAUGCUCAUAUUGGCUCCCACAUAUUCUAUGAAGAUCUUUAUCGGUCAGACCACAUAACAACAUACUUUGUUCCCUUAGUCAUCGGUAUGUUACUUGCCCGAGAUUCGAUCGUCGGUAUCUCAAUACCUAGUCAAUCUCGUUACCGGCAAGUCUCUUUACUCGUUUCGUAAUACAUCAUCUUGCAACUAACUCAUUAGUUGCAAUGCUUGCAAGGCUUAUGUGAUGUGCAUUACCGAGAAGGCCCAGAGAUACCUCUCUGACAAUCAGAGUGACAAAUCCUAAUCUCGAAAUACGCCAACCCAACAUGUAACUUUGGAGACACCUGCAGAGCUUCUUUAUAAUCACCCAGUUACGUUGUGACGUUUGGUAGCACACAAAGUGUUCCUCCGGUAAACGGGAGUUGCAUAAUCUCAUAGUAAUAGGAACAUGUAUAAGUCAUGAAGAAAGCAAUAGCAACAUACUAAACGGUCGGGUGCUAAGCUAAUGGAAUGGGUCAUGUCAAUCACAUCAUUCUCCUAAUGAUAUGAUCCUGUUAAUCAAAUGACAACACAUGUCUAUGGUUAGGAAACAUAACCAUCUUCGAUUAACGAGCUAGUCAAGUAGAGGCACACUAGUGACAUUUAGUUUGUCUAUGUAUUCACACAAGUAUUAUGUUUCCGGAUAAUACAAUUCUAGCAUGAAUAAUAAACUUUUAUCAUGAUAUAAGGAAAUAAAUAAUAACUUUAUUAUUGCCUCUAGGGCAUAUUUCCUUUAGUGAUGUGGUGCAAUGUCUUGUCAGUUUCGAGCUGGUGUUCCCACCAUCCUUCUUCAAUAUCAUGACGCACGUCCUAGUUCAUCUAGUCGACGAGAUUGUCAUUCUGGGGCCCGUAUUUCUACACAAUAUGUUCCCCUUUGAGAGGUUCAUGGGAGUCCUAAAGAAAUAUGUCCGUAACCGCGCUAGGCCAGAAGGAAGCAUCUCCAUGGGCCAUCAAACAGAGGAUGUUAUCGGGUUUUGUGUUGACUUCAUUCCUGGCCUUAAGAAUAUAGGUCUCCCUAAAUCGCAGUAUGAGGGGAGACUGACUGGAAAAGGCACUCUUGGAAGUGACUCAAUAAUAUGCAGGGAGGGAUAUUCUUGGUCUCAAGCACACUACACAGUUCUACAGAACUCUACCUUGGUGACCCCGUAUGUCGAUGAACACAAGAACAGUCUGCGCUUCAAACACCCAGAGCAGUGCGACGACUGGAUUACAUGUGAACACAUCGGGACUUUCAGCAGUUGGUUGGAAACACGUCUCAGAGGUGACAACACUGUUUGUGAUGAGCUGUACUUGUUGUCCAGGGGACCAUCUUUGACUCUAUUGACUUACAAAGGAUACGAGAUAAAUGGGAAUACAUUUUACACGAUCGCCCAAGAUCGAAAGAGCACCAACCAAAACAGCGAUGUCCGCUUUGAUGCAGCAACUGAGAGCGGAAAGGACACAUAUUAUGGUUACAUAGUGGACAUAUGGGAACUUGACUACGGACAUGAUUUUAAGGUCCCUUUGUUUAAGUGCAAAUGGGUCAAUCUGUCAGGAGGCGGGGUACAGGUAGACCCACAGUACGGAAUGACAACAGUGGAUCUGAAAAAUCUUGGGUACACUGACGAACCGUUCGUCCUAGCCAAUGAUGUGGCACAUGUUAGCUAUGUGAAGGACAUGUCUACCAAACCGACAAAAAGAGAAGAUAAGGAAGCGAAUACAUCAUACGAUGAGCCAAAGUGCCACAUAGUUCUUUCAGGAAAAAGGGAUAUCCUGGGAGUGGAGGGCAAGACAGACAUGUCUGAAGAUUAUGAAAAGUUUCAUGAAAUUCCUCCCUUCAAUGUCAAGGCUGGCCCAAGCAUCCUGAUAAACGAUGAAGAUUAUCCAUGGUUACGGCGCAAUAAGCAAAUGACACAAGCGAAGAAAAAGUGAAGACUUUCUCCCGCAACUAUUAUGAUGAUACCAUGUCAACUUUGUAACACACGACUAUGCUAUGCCAACUUUUUCAGAGUUCAUUUGAAAACUAUGAAUUUAGGUCGAAUUUUCUGUAUAGGUGCAUCUAUGUUCAUUUUUUUAGUAAAGUUAAUCACAAACUUGUGAUUCACACAAAUUUCAAAGAAUUCAAAUCUUAACUAUUCAAAUUUGAAAACCAAUGGCACUUACAGAAAGUUUAUAAUUUUUCUAAAACUAAUGGCACUAACAAAAAGAUUAUAAUUUUGCUGACCUAAAAGCAAAACGAAAUAAAAAUAAAGCAAAAAACAAAAGAAAAAUAAAUAAUGCAGAAAACAAAACAAAAAUCUAGAAAAAAAUAAAAAUAGCAACAAUAAGUAUUUUUUGUAAAUAGAAACAAAAUAAAAUAAAUAAAGCAACAAAGAAAACAAAAAAACUAAAAAAGUGUUUUCAAUUUUGAAAACUAAUGGCACUAACAGAAAGUUUAUAAUUUUUCUAAAACUAAAAGCAAAAAGAAUUAAAAAUAAAGCAAAAAACAANNNNNNNNNNNNNNNNNNNNNNNNNNNNNNNNNNNNNNNNNNNNNNNNNNNNNNNNNNNNNNNNNNNNNNNNNNNNNNNNNNNNNNNNNNNNNNNNNNNNNNNNNNNNNNNNNNNNNNNNNNNNNNNNNNNNNNNNNNNNNNNNNNNNNNNNNNNNNNNNNNNNNNNNNNNNNNNNNNNNNNNNNNNNNNNNNNNNNNNNNNNNNNNNNNNNNNNNNNNNNNNNNNNNNNNNNNNNNNNNNNNNNNNNNNNNNNNNNNNNNNNNNNNNNNNNNNNNNNNNNNNNNNNNNNNNNNNNNNNNNNNNNNNNNNNNNNNNNNNNNNNNNNNNNNNNNNNNNNNNNNNNNNNNNNNNNNNNNNNNNNNNNNNNNNNNNNNNNNNNNNNNNNNNNNNNNNNNNNNNNNNNNNNNNNNNNNNNNNNNNNNNNNNNNNNNNNNNNNNNNNNNNNNNNNNNNNNNNNNNNNNNNNNNNNNNNNNNNNNNNNNNNNNNNNNNNNNNNNNNNNNNNNNNNNNNNNNNNNNNNNNNNNNNNNNNNNNNNNNNNNNNNNNNNNNNNNNNNNNNNNNNNNNNNNNNNNNNNNNNNNNNNNNNNNNNNNNNNNNNNNNNNNNNNNNNNNNNNNNNNNNNNNNNNNNNNNNNNNNNNNNNNNNNNNNNNNNNNNNNNNNNNNNNNNNNNNNNNNNNNNNNNNNNNNNNNNNNNNNNNNNNNNNNNNNNNNNNNNNNNNNNNNNNNNNNNNNNNNNNNCAAAAGAAAAUAAAUAAGACAGAAAACAAAACAAAAAAACUGGAAAAAAAACUAUUUUUCUAGUAAAGUUAAUCACAAACUUGUGAUUCACAUAAAUUUUAAAGAAUUCAAAUUUUAACUAUUUAAAUUUGAAAACUAAUGGCACUAACAGAAAGUUUAUAAUUUUUCUAAAACUAAAAGAAAAAAGAAUAAAAAAUAAAGCAAGAAUCAAAAGAAAAUAAAUAAUUCAAAAAAAAACAAAUGCUGGAAAAAAUAAAAAUGCCACCUAUUGGGCCACACGGCCUGCAUACGACUAGAAACCCAUAUGUACAUGGGCCAGGAUGCAGGCCCGCAGGCCCAAUAGGUCCAACAAGGCAGUGACAAGGGCAGGCAAGUAUUGCCUGCAUAUUAGAGAGGAGCUCAGCACCUGAGCCGCAAUGCAGCUUAUAAACAGGUGCUGAGCUCUCUCAGCUAGCGAGGUGGGACUAAACUUCCCACCGCACCGCGCCAGGCCUUUGGUCUCGGUUGGUGGCUCCAACCGGGACUAAAGGGGGCCAUUGGUCCUGGUUGGUGGCUCCAACCGAGACCAAUGCCCCCCUUUAGUCCCGGUUGGUGCCACCAACCGGGACCAAAGGCCGUCGCUUCCCGCCCUUUGGGCUGCUGAAAAGAGGCCUUUGGUCCCGGUUGAUGGCACCAACCGGGACUNNNNNNNNNNUCUCCGCCCUGCCCCGACGCGCGUCGCGCGCCCCGGCUCGCCCAUCGUCGUCGCCUUGCCCCGCCCGUCGCCGUCGCCCUGCCCCUCCAUUGGCCCGGCCGGCGCCCCUCCCCUGUUUUUUCAUAUAUGAUAUGCUUGUGUAUAUUGUGUAUAUUGCUUCUUUGUGUAUAUUAUGUAUAUAUGUCAGUAUAUAUAUUGUGUAUAUUGCUUUUUUCAGAUUUUUUUCAUAUAUAUGUUUGUAUUUUGUAUUUUGCUUUUUUAUAAAAAUGUAUACAUGUUUGUAUGUUCUCUGUGUAUAUAUGUUCAUAUAUGCAAAAGUUAGAUUUAAAUAUUUAGAAAAGGAUUAUCUAUAUAUGUUCUCUGAUUUAGUACAUUUUAGGUUAGUUUCAUUUCUAGAAAAGUUUUAUAUAUUUAGGAGAGGAAAAAGGAAAAUAAGAAGAGGAAAAAGGAGAAUAAGAGGAGAGGAAGAAAAGGAAGAGGAGAAGAAGAAAGGAAUAGAGGAGAAGAAGAAAAAAAUAGAAUUUUUUCUAUUUUUUUCUUCUUCUCCUCUAUUCCUUUCUUCUUCUCCUCUUUUUUUCUUCUUUUUUUCUUCGAUCUUCUCCUCUACUCCUUUCUUUUUCUCCUCUUUUUAUUUCUUCUUCGUAUUCUUAUGUUUUAUCGGGUCUGUNNNNNNNNNNNNNNNNNNNNNNNNNNNNNNNNNNNNNNNNNNNNNNNNNNNNNNNNNNNNNNNNNNNNNNNNNNNNNNNNNNNNNNNNNNNNNNNNNNNNNNNNNNNNNNNNNNNNNNNNNNNNNNNNNNNNNNNNNNNNNNNNNNNNNNNNNNNNNNNNNNNNNNNNNNNNNNNNNNNNNNNNNNNNNNNNNNNNNNNNNNNNNNNNNNNNNNNNNNNNNNNNNNNNNNNNNNNNNNNNNNNNNNNNNNNNNNNNNNNNNNNNNNNNNNNNNNNNNNNNNNNNNNNNNNNNNNNNNNNNNNNNNNNNNNNNNNNNNNNNNNNNNNNNNNNNNNNNNNNNNNNNNNNNNNNNNNNNNNNNNNNNNNNNNNNNNNNNNNNNNNNNNNNNNNNNNNNNNNNNNNNNNNNNNNNNNNNNNNNNNNNNNNNNNNNNNNNNNNNNNNNNNNNNNNNNNNNNNNNNNNNNNNNNNNNNNNNNNNNNNNNNNNNNNNNNNNNNNNNNNNNNNNNNNNNNNNNNNNNNNNNNNNNNNNNNNNNNNNNNNNNNNNNNNNNNNNNNNNNNNNNNNNNNNNNNNNNNNNNNNNNNNNNNNNNNNNNNNNNNNNNNNNNNNNNNNNNNNNNNNNNNNNNNNNNNNNNNNNNNNNNNNNNNNNNNNNNNNNNNNNNNNNNNNNNNNNNNNNNNNNNNNNNNNNNNNNNNNNNNNNNNNNNNNNNNNNNNNNNNNNNNNNNNNNNNNNNNNNNNNNNNNNNNNNNGUCACUUGUGGGACGUGGAUGUAGUGUCCGACACCGAUGGCCACAUGUAUCUCACACCCACUAUACUUGCUAUUUAGGGUUUCCUCUACCGCUCGGUGACCCUCGACAACCCUCGUUCCCGAUAAAAAAAAGAGGAAGAAGAAGAAAAAAAGAGGAGAAGAAAGAAUAGAUGAGUUUACUCCUCUAUUCUUUCUUCUCCUCUUUUUUUCUUCUUCCUCUUCUUUUUUUAUCAUUGAAGCGUUGUCGAGGCCACCUCAAACCCUAGAGAAGCAGCGUCGAGGCCACCCCAAACCCUAGAGAAGCAGCGUCGAGGCCACUAAUUAAUAUUAGUUCUACGUUUGCCACUAAUAUAUCCAUCUGUCAUGUUUGAAUAAUAAUUGCCAUGUUGUAAAUAUUUGUAGAAACUAUGGACACCGCCCGAGACGAAGUAUAAGAAGAGUUGUUGGGGGACAUAAUUGCACGAGGAAGUGAUGCCGUCUGCUCGUUGUUUCUCAACAACACCGAUGGUCUGGAAGCAGCUGGCUAUGAUUAUGAUGGCUCCGGUGACCUAAUGCUGGUGCAAGAAGGAGACCGUGAGGACGGCUCCGGUGACCCAAUGCCGGUGCAAGGAGACCGUGAUGACGUCUCCGGUGACCGAACCGAGUCCGGCCAGGUAUAUAUAUUAGUUAAGCUUGUGCUGACUAGCUAAUUGAUGCAUUCAUUGUUUUGGUAUGUACACAUAUUAAUUAAGUCUUUGUUCUUUUUUCUAGCCCUUCGGAUCGAGCACAACUUCGGUAAAGAGACGAGGCCCGAAGAGAAAGUUGAGCUCGGAUGAAAGGUUUGAGAUCAUAGCAAUCGCGACUGACGGCCAACCGAUUGAACCCAUUCGGACAAAGAACGCAUUUGUUGCUCAAUGUGGGGUUCUGGUUAGGGACAAGAUCCCGAUCAGCAUCCAACAAUGGUUAAAGCCGGCUACAGAAGACCCUGAGGUGUCUUAUGUCAAUGAUAUGCAGAAAAAUGAUCUUUGGACUGAGCUGAAGUCAACUUUCACCCUACCACCAGAGGAUGAUCCGGAGAAGCCAGUUAAAGAGCAAUUAAUCAAGUCGUUUGCUCUUAAGAGGAUGGCAGAACUAUUCAUGAGGUGGAAGAAAGAGCUGAAUAAGUUUGUCGAAAAUAAAGAGACACCAGAAUUCAAGGGCAGAUAUGAGAAGAUCAGAGAUCACUGGCCCGCAUUUGUGGCCCACAAGACAUCGGAAAAGAGUAAGAAGAUGUCGGUGACAAACAAGCAAAAUGCUGCGAAGAAGAAGCAUCACCAUCGCACGGGGUCAGGUGGCUACCACGCAGCCCGACCUAAGUGGGCCAAGACUAAGAAUGAUCUAGUUGAUAAAGGGAUCGAACCAGAGACAAUUAACUGGCCAGACCGUUGCCGGACUUGGUUCUUCGGGGCUGGCGGAAACUUGGACCCUGUAUCAGGGAAGUGCAUUUGGAAGGACGAGCAAAUGGAAAUACCAGUCAAGAGGCUUAAGCACUAUAUCGAAGCAGCGCAUCAAGGGACGUUCGUUCCAGACAGAGAGAACGACGAGCUCACAAUGGCCCUCGGGAAUCCUGAGCACCCUGGACGGACACGAGGCACGCCAGGGUCCAUUUCAUGGAAGGCUGGAUUUCCGGACGCAGGCGGUUACAAAUGCCACGAGAGGAGGAAGAAAGUGGAGCAGACCCAACUGCAGGCGCUGCACGCUAGGGCACAAGCGAUAGAGGAACGAGAAGCAAAUCGCAGCAAACGAACUGCCGAAGCUUCCCCUGAAGCUACCUCGCCAUCUCAGCGGAGAAGCAAUGUGGCUUCCACCGAGCUGCUUCAGCCGGAGCAUGUCUUGACGGCUCCUGCCAGCUAUCCCGUGGAUGCUAUCACGGAGUCUCAAAAUUGCCACCUUAUGACGCAAUGGAUUAAUAUGAAGGUCAAGGCGGCUGUUGGCUCUGUUUUUCCUACUGAACCCGGGGCAACUUUUCACUGCGGCCGAUUCCAGAAGGAUAUGCUAGGGUGAUGGUUGAUGAAAUAACGGAGGGAUUUGAGGACCUCCAGCUUGACCACCCUACCGGUGAAGGGGAGACUCGGCUGGGUUCUGCUCUGAAGACUCCAUGCCUAUGGCGGAAGGAGCUCAUCAACCUUCCGAACUAGACGCCUCCGCCUCCUCCUCCUCCUCCGGCGAGUCAGGGCACUCCGCCUCCUCCACCGCCUCCUCCUCCGGCGAGUGACGAUUAGGGCACUCGGCCGGCUCCUUCUCCGGUGCGUGGCGGCACUCCACCUCCUUCUCCGCCUGCGCCGGCGCACCCGAGCAGCCAGCCUCCUCCUUCUCCGCCUCGUCAGCAAGGGCGGAAGAGACCCGCCGCCGCUCCGGCUGCUCCAGCACGUCGUAGUCCUUCUCCUCCGCCUCGUAAUAAAGUAAAGAAGACAUCCACUCUGUCUGCUCUGCCGGCGUCUAGCAGUACAGCCAAAGGCGGGAGGACAUACAGAUUCGGUCCUUCUCUGAAGACUCCAGAGAAGUUACCAUACGAGAGGACCCCGGAGGAGAACGCCGAGAUCGCGCGAGAAGAAGUGAGGAACUUCUUUGAAGGGGUGAAAGCAAAGAAACAUCCACCUCCGGAGGAGAAGGUAGAUCCGGUGAAAGCGAAGCGCACUCUGGCUGCCCUGACAAAACCACCCAAGUCUCUACCGAAAGACAACUAUGAGCACAUUAUUGGAAAGGCAUUUGCCGAAGCGGAGCGGUCGGGAAGUGCCGUCAGCGAUCAAAGGCUGAAAGAACGACGAGCUGGGAAACAAAUUGCCCAGCUCGCCGAACAAGCGAAGCAAUUGCGCCCCCCGCUCAAGGUGCCUAUCGACAUCAUCGCUAGUGAUCCGAGGAUGGUGCCCAGUUAUAGCAAUCUUGGAGAUUACCUGCCCGAUGAUGUACAUUAUGAUUUCAUGGAGGUGCAGAUACAAAGAUACGAGUACGUGAAGCCUCUCGUCAAAGAUGAAAGAUCUCUAUCAACGAUGAUGCGAAGAUUGCAUGAUUGGUACUUGAAAAUCUGCAGAGAGUCUGGGGGGAGGAGUACUUUGUAUGUGAGAGUUAAAAAGGAGCAUGACCUCGUUGGAAUUGAACUGUUGCCUGUUCCAUUUGAGGAGUUCUUUCAGUUUUUCAAUCAAUUGACCCUCGAGAAAGCAACGGUCACCUACUACUGUCUGUAAGUAGUACUACUUCUGUCAUUAAGUCUCUUUAUAUAGCUCAGCUCUUUCAUUGCAUGUAUUUAUAAUUAUCCUCACUAUAUUAUGCAGAUUGAAGAUCGUCGAAUUGAAGAAGAGACAAAUCGUUGAUAUUGGGUUCAUUAACACAAAUCUCAUAGAUGCAACUCAGGUUAGAUUUCAUGCCGCAGAUACCGAGGCCAACUUGCUACGAUCAUUGGUAAUAAAUGAAAACAAAGAUAUAAUACUCUUUCCUUACAACUUCAAGUGAGUGUUACUGUCUUGUGCAUAUUCGGUUUACCUUAUAUAUUAGUCAAGGUUAUAGUAAUGUAAUUGAUGAGUUAUGCAUGCGUGUGCAGUUUUCACUAUAUUCUCCUAGAGAUUAAGCUAGAGCAGGGACUAGUAACCGUCUUAGACUCGAGACGAAAAGAUCCCCAGGACUAUGCGGACAUGACUCAAAUGCUCGAGAAGUAAGUUAAAUCGAUCAUUAUCCACCAUAUCAGCAGCUUUGUUCAAUUCCUGAUAUAUCAAGUAAUUGUUUUCUUUGUCUGGCUGGGUUUGGAGAAAAUUCACCAAAAAAGCUCCGGGACUGCCGAAGAAGCUGCAAUUUAGACACCCGAAAGUAAGUACUAUAGUAGCAUGUUCCUCGCAUCUCCUAGUGAUUCAAGCGCUAGUUUCAUCAAUACCAUUUCGCAUUCUUGCUUAUCAGUUUGAUUGACCUCUAUUUCUUGUAAAGUGGUUGUGGCAGGAACAAGGGAAUGAUUUCUGUGGAUACUACGUUUGCGAGUCCAUCCGCCACAAGACCUGUGAGCGGGGCUACUCUGACGAACAAUAUGAAGUGCGUAAGUAAUAAUAUUCACAAUUUUAUUUUAUUACCAUCAUUUGUGUUGAGUUUCAUUCAUAUAUAUAUAUAUAUAUAUAUAUAUAUAUAUAUAUAUAUAUAUAUAUAUGUAUUGACCCCUUUCUUCAAAUUAGAUGUUUCGGAAGCGGGAUGAACUCCUAGCACCAGCUCGCAUGCGAGAAUUCAAGAGGAAUUGGCGGCACUCUUUCUUGACCACGUGAUCGCUGAAGACGGAGAAUACUAUGUGGACCAUGCGUCCGUAUGUUAGGAGAUUAUAUUUGUAAGAGAUAAUUAUUGUAUAUAUAUGUAGCCGGUAGUGUCAGAUAGAUAUACGAGAACUUGUUGUUCGACCAAUCUCUCGGAGAAGGAGAGGUGGUCGAUAUCACUUCUCUCUGUAUGCAUAUAUGUUCAUGACGAUCUUCUGUUUCCUUCGUUUGCUUACUAGCUAGUUAGCGUGUCUAGUCCUCUCUAUACAUAUGUAUAGUACGUAGCGUCGACCAAGCACGGACAUAAGAGAGGACACUUCUCUCUAUUAAUUAUAGCUAGCUAACACAAUAUAUGAAACACCUAAAUUAACCCCCCAAAACCCCCAAACCCCCCCCCUUUCAAAAAAAAAACAAAAACCCCACCCACAGAAAUGCUGACGCGUGGAUGCCUAUUGGUCCCGGUUGGUGCCACCAACCGGGACCAAAGGCCCUCCGCCUGGGCUCCGCGCACAGGCCGCGUGGAGGCCCAUCUGUCCCGGUUCUGGAUUGAACCGGGACUAAAGGGACAGGGUAUUAGUACUGACCCUUUAGUCCCGGUUCAGGAACUGGGACAAAAAGCCCUUACGAACCGGGACAAUAUGCCCGUUUUCUACUAGUGAAAAGAACAUUUGCAACAUUAACAGCUGAGCAAUCAAAAAGGAUAUUUCUAUGUUACAGUGCAUGUCAUAUUUCUCAUGCACUAUUUUUUUCAGAUUUCUUACUUCUUGUUAUUAAUACUUCAUUAUUCUGAAUUCCUACUUAGUGUUAUUAAUUUAGUAAAGAUAACAUGCAUUGCUGUUUAUUUUUCAAUAAUAAGUAAAGACAGGGAAGAAACUCAUGCGCACACUCUCCAGCUAUAAGAAUAACUAAUGCAAUAAGACACUGAUCGGGGCAUACCAAUAUUUAAGUCUUGUCAGACCACAAUAAGAGAACAAUCAGUCACAUAUUGAUACUUUGGUUUCAGUAAUAAGAAGGAUCACACGUUCGACAUAAAAAAUGAAGUCCAUUUAGUUACUGGAGUUAUAAAUUCAAGGUGAUGCCUUAACUUGCUGCUGGCUUCGAGGUUGUGACCUCCCCUCCCCUUCUUGGUUAUUCCUUUCCCCCCUCUUCGUUUCAUUGAGCUCAUCCCCACUUCUAUUUUCCUCUUCAUCAUCCUGCAACAAAACAACAGAGUUUGAGAUGCAUCAGACUUUCACAAAUCACAACGUAACUCUGGAACUUCAUAUAAUAUUUCUAAUUUCCAUGUAGUAGAGUCCAACCUAUAUACAGAUAUAAUUAGGAUUUGCAUAAUUACUUUCUUCCAUGCAGUACAGUCGGGCAUCUUAGAUCAAACGUCUGCAAGUUCUGCAACCUCAAUAUUGUGGAUCUGCACAAGUAGCAGUUGUAGUGCCCUGCCCACACCUGCUAAUUUGAGGAAGCAAGAACCUCAUUGUAGGACGGACAUAAGGAAUCUUAGCGAAGUAGUAGUGUAGUACUUACAUGCAGACCAUCGCAUCGGUGGCGUCGGGUGCAGGAACUCUACAUAGGUGGCGCAGAGGAAGAACACAUCUGCUAAGGGAGGAGCUUCUACGUUGUUGCGGCGUGGUGGAGUCUUUGUUGCCGGCCGUGUGGAGGACGGAGGAGUCGCCGUCGGCCGCGUGGGGGACGAAUGCCGAGCGCCACAGGAAAGGCGGCCGGGCAGCCGUCGACGGUGAGGCGCGAUGGAGGCGGACGGGAAUCAGGGCCGCAAGGGGCUGUCGGAGGAUCGGCGCCGUAGAGCAGGGCCGUGUGGAGAGGUGGGGAUCAUCACUGGCGAGUAGAAUCACAUGUGCGCAUGGAGGGCGACUGCUCAUGAUGGGUUCGUCCGCCAUGGUGAGGGAACUGAGGGAGGCGGUUUGCUUCACGGGGGAGGGGAGCCAGCUUGUUUUUGGGAACGUCUUGUUUUAGCCCAACCGAUCGUGCAUGCGUGCAGGUUCUUCGAAGGCUACAAACGUGGAGUGGCAUAGUGGGUAAUUAGAACGUAAAAUGCAUUUAGUACGAUGGAGCGAUGUAGACCAUCAUAUCACAUGAUUUGAUGGAUGAGAUGAAUUGGUUCUCCGCUCUUUCGUGCUUUUAUAGGGGUAGUAGAUAGAUGUAAUUGUAUUUUCUUACGUAUUUUGUACAGAUUUACUUUGCACACUACACCAAAUCUCUUAUUUAAUUUCAAUGUUCUAUGCCAUUCUAUAUGUAAUAAAUUUGAUGGGCGCGGCAACGCGCGCCUGUCACGAUUUAGUCAUCACAAAAAUCAGCCUAGGGGAUAAGAUGCCCUUUCACCAACUUGGCAAAGAUGAAACCAUGGUGGUGGGAAAACGAUCAUGCAUGCGGGGAGUAGUGUUGGCUUGUCUACCUUGAUAGAUCUUGCACGGUCUCAACAAAUCCAGCGAGGGUGCAAUUGAAUCAUGCGUANNNNNNNNNNNNNNNNNNNNNNNNNNNNNNNNNNNNNNNNNNNNNNNNNNNNNNNNNNNNNNNNNNNNNNNNNNNNNNNNNNNNNNNNNNNNNNNNNNNNNNNNNNNNNNNNNNNNNNNNNNNNNNNNNNNNNNNNNNNNNNNNNNNNNNNNNNNNNNNNNNNNNNNNNNNNNNNNNNNNNNNNNNNNNNNNNNNNNNNNNNGACCUCACACGUCGAGGACGGAUAAUCUUUUUCAUGUUCUGUUGUUGGGUAUGAAGUGUCUGAUUUUCCAUCCCUUUUUCAUUGUGAGAUCUAGAGGAUGCAUGGCCAUGCUUAUGCUUUGGCUUCAACUUCUUAUACCUCACCAUCCAACCAAACACAUUCCUUUAUUUUGGGCUUAAACAAAAGUGGUUCCGCUUUUUAGUUUAAAGAAUUAAGAACACGGCCGAAGGUACUUUGUAUUUAUGAAACAUCCAUUCUAUAAUAUCAUUAUGUACUUCACAGAAAUUAAAAGAGAAUUGCCACAAGAUAUAACAAUCUAGCUACGCCCAGAUCAGGGGAUGCCCCCUAUCAAUGUGGCUUCUCUGAACCCUAGAUCACGCUGUUCGUGAUGGGUGAUUAGUACAACGACUUCGACAAAUUAUGAUCUUCUGCAUGUUUGUGCUCAAUAUAUCGGCUUCGUUCUUCUUUGGUGCUCGGGCGACGUAACGAUAAUUGGGGAAGCGACAACGAAUUAGGGGAUGUGUAUACAAAUUUCUGUGGACUUGGUUGCGUUUUCACCUUUUGUCAAGGUAUUUUCUCUGCAUUUCCAUUCUUAAUUCAUUUCUUGGUUUACAAAAUCAGAUGAUCUACCAACUAUCUAUCUACCUAUCUAUCUAUCUACUACUCUAUAAAAAAAAGAGGCAGAUCCAAACAAUCAUACCCGUUCAUCUACAAGAUCUAAUGGUUGCUAAUCCUUCGAUCUUUAACCCUACAAGCCACGGAAUUAAGCCAGUAAGGGCAUGUACAAUGGUUCUAUCUUAGCAAUGCCACGUAGGAUAGAUGAUGAGGUGGAGGAGAGAGAACUCAUAAGAAAAGAUUUGUCCUCUCUUAUUUAAGAGAAGACAAGAGGUGAUCUCUUAGCACAAUAUGUCUCACCAUAUUUUUAGGAAUUACUAGUUAUUGAAGAUAAGGCUAAGAUAUGACCCAUUGUAGAUAAAUUUUUUUGUCAUCUCUAAAUCACAUGCAAGACUUAAGAUAAGACUAUCUUAUCAACCAUUGUACAUGCCCUAAUCCUCAACUCGUGACCCUGCCCACCCGUUAAAAAAAAACCGCUGCCCGCUGCGCACGCACGCACGCCCCUCGCUCGCUCGCUCCUCGCCCUUCUCCCGCCGCCCCGGUCCUCGCCCUCCGCCGCCGCCGCUCCGCUCGCCCUCCACCGCCGCCGCUCCGCUCGCACUCCACCGCCGCUCCUCCUCUCCUCCGCCGCCGCCCCGGUCCCCUGGGCCGUCGAGGACGCCGCCUGGACGGCCGUCCGUGGCCGCCUGCUCCGUCCAGCUCCUCCCCCGCCCCCGAGUACGGCCGAUGUAUUUUCUAGCGCACCACCGUUGAUGUACAAGCAACUAAUGUUAUGCUGGGUGUUUUGUUUGUUAAUAAUAAUUCGCGCAUCACACCAUUUCCAUUUAAAUCAUCUGAAAGAAUAUGCCGUGUAGCUCAAAAUCCAGUGAAGCACGGCUAAAUCAGGCUAGUAUCAUUAUCAGUACAUAAACAGGCUUCCAACAUUUUUCUCGCCACAUUAGUGUCCAUCUCAACAUUCUUCGAAGCUAAAUUGUGACGCCAACAUCCACCCGAGUGAGCUUACUAGAGUUAGAAAAUUGUGUUAGUUUAGGAACCGUAGCCACUGACAACGAGUUGAGGGUACCCGCAAAAAAGAAAAAGAAAAAAAAAGAGUUGAGGUAGCCAACUGAGAAAGUCAGUGAUAGCUUGGGGAGUUCUGAUGCAUUUUUCUCUUUCCAAAAGCUACCGUUGAGGAUAUUCCCCUUGCUUCUUGGUUAUUAUUUUCUAAGGCGAUGAAAAAUGUAGAAACAAAUUCUUGUGCAAUAUACAGUUUGCAUGUCAGUAUAACAUUUUGUAGAUUUCCUUAAAAUAGUUUUUUUAUGACAAAGUUGCCAUACAUAAAGCAUAAGUAUGACAGUUGAAUGUGGAAAAUGAGAAACAAAGCUGCAAAUAGCAGCUGCAUAUGUGACUCGGUAGGAUACAAUGCUCGACACUCAACAGCUAUUAGUCAUUUUCACUUGCUUACCUUAAAUUGUAAAAUGGUUCUGCCGGUCUGCCCAGAGCUUCCAAACAUUAUAUGCUUAUCCUGAUAGAUAACUUGUCCCAAACAUACAGAGGCUUCCCUGAACAUUAUAUGCUUAUCCUGAUAGAUAACUUGUCCCAAACAUACUUUGCUACUUCUAGUUAAUUAAUCUGAUCUGUGGUGGAUGGUUAUCACUCCCUCCGUUCUCAAAUGUAAGUUUUUCUAGAUAUUUCAAUAAGUGACUACAUACGAAGCAAAAAGAAUGAAUCUAUACUCUAAAAUAUGUCUUCAUACAUCCGUAUGUUGUAAUCCACUUGAAAUGGUUAAAAAAACUUAUAUUUAGAAACGGAGGGAGUACCUCACAAGUGAGAUCACAACCAUUCAUUCUAGUGCGCCAUAAUUAUUUGUUCUUUGGUUCACAGAUGCCACUAAGGCCCAGUUCUUUUCACUCGAUUCUGAACAAUCUGGGUCUGAAAAAAAUCAAAAGCUCAAAAGAACUGGAUCUGAUUUUAUCCAAAAUCAUGUGAGAAUCGCCAGAAUGAGUAGUGCAAUCGAAAAUCGUGUCGAGACCUCUUCUGGCGAUUCUGGACGCUCCCACGAAACAAAACGUUUUGACUUAAGGUAGUAGUACCCCUAUUUGAGAGGCAAAUUACCAGAGAACUGCCACUCUCCUUCGCUCGAUCCCCCACCUCCCCACUCGCGCUCGCGAUAGGGUUACAGGGCCGCCGCCGCCGCGCCGCCCGACAGCCCGCCCCUCCCGCUCGCUUCGAGGCCCGCAGCCGUUGCUCCGCCCCGGCCACUCCUUCGGCCCGCCUGCUCGCCUCGAGGCCCUCAGCCGCUGCCCCGCCCCGACGCCGCCUCGCCGGAGUUUGCUCGGGCCGUCGCCUAGGCUGAGCUCUCAUCUCCUCUCCGUCUUCUCUGUUCUGUUCUGUUCUGGGUGCAGCUCUAUUCCUUCUUGUUCGUCUCUGUUCCUAGUUCUUCUCUGUACAUGGAAAAAUGGAUGGAUGUUUGUUUGUUUGUUUGGUAGGAGUAGAUGAUUUGCUUGAUUGCUGAAUGGAUGUAUGCUCGUUUUCAUGCUCAUAUUCGACAUAAAUUGUCCAAAGCAACUAGAGUAAGUCUUAGCAAUUCAACACACAGUUUUAGUUCAGGGACAUUACAGAAAUUUUAGCACACAACUCAUCCCAUAAUCUCAGACCACAAUCUUAGAAAAAGAACUCGGCAGCUGAUUCUGGGUGAUUCUGCAGGAAGCUGAUUUUGGGGCAAGUUUCUCAAAAGCUGAUUUUGGAGAAUCAAAAAGCUGAAAAGAAUUGGGCCCUUUUUUCCUCAGAUACACUAAGACAAAAUUAGAGCUCUACUCAGAACUUGAGGCUCGAGCAGCUCAUGAACUCCCAGUAUGUUGUAUAACAUUGGUUGACAUACGCUUGAGUAUGUACUCAUAUGGGUCCAUGGUGGACUAGAGGUUUGGCGGGCAUGAUCUUUAAAGAAUGAUCUAUCAUGGAUUCUAGUAGAAAGUAUAAGUUAUUCUACAAACAUUAUAGGAUAUACUGGUCUGAGGGAAAAAUAGAAAUAAAAAUUCACAAUGCAUUUGUUAGUCUGUGAAUUUCUAAUUAGAUUAUUCCUGGGACAAUAGUAAUUCUAUUUGUGAUCAUAUUUCGUCUGAAGAGCUGCUACUAUCGGCUACCAUUUCUCUUCAGUACUAUAAGAAAUAUCUGAACUGAACUUCGUUAUAUAUAAUUGCAAAAAUCUUUGUGAACCAGCGAAAGGCAUUGGGACCAGCAAACCCUAUUUUCUUCAGGAACCGGUUCAAGAAAACAUUGUAGCUUGAAUCAGCAAAAGACAAGAGUAAAACGUUGCCAAGCUUACUUGAUAGUUUAGUCUUGUCAUAGUAACUUAAUCCUAAUAGUUAUGAUCUGUUUUAUUUGUAGAACUUGGGUGGUAUUAUUUUGUACAUUAAGUACAUAAGUAACAUUUUAUUUCUUCAGGUUCUUAUACAGCUACUUUGUUACAGUUAAUACAGAUAAUAUUAUCUUGUACCAUGGCUAGUGCGGAGGAUGUGAAGCAGCGGCAGGUUGUUGAAGACCGUGCAAGAAAUAUUAGCCACAAUGUACGGUGCACUGAGUGUGGCAGCCAGUCCAUUGAAGAUUCGCAAGCAGAUGUUGCAGUUCUCCUUAGAAGGGUACUUUUCGUUCUAUAACCUUGUGAUGAUUGGUUGCCUGACCUUGUUGUUUCAGUUAGUGGUCAAACUUUUAGUAGCAGAGAUUGGCUUAUUCCUGUAUACCUUUUCAUGUUUCCACAACAUCCAAAUUUUGCUUUGUUGCUCUCUUGAUCUUAACAAGACCUAACUAAGAUUGGAAAUUUGAUAACACUUUUAACUGAGGUAACACUUGUACUUGAGACCUUGUACUGAUCAAUACAACAACAACAAAGCCUUUCAGUCCCAAACAAGUUGGGGUAGGCUCUAGGACUGAUCAAUAAUGACAUAAAAUAAAAUGUGUUCACCGGCACCCAAUAGUUAAAUGCAAAAUAGGGUUGAGAAACUUGAAAUGAUAUUUGCUACUAUCAAUUUUUUUUUUGAAGAAUCUAUAUGUCCUGUUUGGAUUUGGAAUGAUAGAGAUGGUUUUGGUAAUGCCGCAACUGGUUUGGUUCUUCGAUUAUAUACAUUUGCGUCCUUUUUACUUGACUAGGUUUCUUAGACUUGGAUGAUAUUUCUGCCUAUUCAGCUAUAUUAAAUUUACAUUACCUUUCACUGUACCAGAACACUGUUGUCUGAUUCACAAGCAUUUAUCUGCACCAUGUACUACAUAUACACGAGAAAAAAAUUAAUCUUGAGUUCUCAACGUCAAUAAAGGCACUUGGUUUAUAUGCUUUAAAGGAUUGAAAUAUUAUUGCCUUACACCCAAUAUGUCAUGGGAAGCUUCACGGCCGGACGAACUGACAUAUGUGUCAUUUUUGCAGUUAAUUCGUGAUGAAAUAAAAUCUGGAAAGAGUGAUAAGGAGAUAUACAAAAAACUAGAAGAAGACUUUGGAGAAACAGUUCUAUAUGCCCCUAAAUUUGAUCUUCAAACUGCUGCCAUAUGGUUAUCACCGGUGAGCCUUAAUUAUGAUUCUUUUUCCAUGCUGUUCAAUUGUCCGUGCUUUUAUUAUACUAGAAAUAUUAUCACUUGCACUUUUUUAGCCUAUUAUUUGUUCGUUUUAUGAAUGCAUUGUGUGUCUUGGUGAACCCAAGCAUAUUCCAUCAUCACAAACUUUUGCAUCAAGAUGUUUUUCGUAAGUACGUGGAUGAUUCUCUUUCAUAGUUACUUGGUGAAUUUGCAACCAGUGGAAGUAAAAUAUUUCAAUUCUUAAAAAAUCUAAUUCCAGCUGAUCCCUUGUUGUAGUUCAAUGUAGUCUGUAGAGAGAUAAAUUGAUACUGAUUUGACCUGCUUUCAUUUGUGCUUAGUAAAAUUAUGUUGUUGCAGCGGAACAUGGUAAAAUGAAGGCUUCAAAAUAUCGAAGUAUCUACCCCCCUGAAUUAGUAUCAUUUUAUCCUGUGCAGGUGAUUGUGAUUUCUCGGGUAGGCAGUCGAGAGCCUGAUACAUUAAAUCCUGUGCAGGUGAUUGUGGGCGGCGUAGCAGCUGGUGUGUGGGCUUACCAAAAGCACAGGCAAAGGACCAACGUUCACAUCAUGGCUCUGAACCUCGUCCGAGGGGUUCCCCUGACUCCAAGGGAGAAGGAGACGAUGAUCGACAUCCUCACGCCGCCCCUGCCGGCAAGGAGGUGGUGGUGGCCUAUCAAAUGAUGUUCUUUCAUGUCCUUAGACGCGACAUUGAGUGGGUACCAAUUUCCUGAGGUACAAAUGUUCAGGAUGGCUGGAAUUUUAGCACGUGAUUUCGUUGCACAUCUCGCGCCCUGCUUGGAGCUUGGGCUACAGAUUUUUUUUCUGGGUUUUAUAACCGGAUGCUUGCGAUACCUUGGUGGUUUGUGAAGCAUGAACCUAGCUAGCAGCACAUGUUGCCUUCCUCCGUAUGCUGGCUGUGAAGCUGAAAAACAGCCUCCUGUUAAGUGUAGUUUCUUCCCUAAACAUGUGGUGUCACUGCUGACCCUCUGUGCUAGCAGUCUAGCACACAAGUAGAGCAUUUUGUUCUCAGAAUAAGCUGCAAAUUUUAAUUGAAUUUUCGUAGGCUCUUUGAUCGAUGUCAUGUUUGUUUCAUCUAACCUGCGACCUUGAUCCCCCAGCUUGGCGUACUAGAUGGUACUGGCAUGCAAUUCUCCAUAAACAAACAAGUUGGUGCUGGCAUGCAUACAUAGCAGCGGCACAGAUGAUUACUGGAGGUUUUCUCUCUUAACUAAAGUUCAUCGGAGGUUGUAAAAAAAAAUCGGAGUUGAGGUCUUUCAAAAAUAAAUGAAUGUUAAAUUAGCUCAAAUUCAUGUGUUUCUUCUUGAUCUUCUAGCUACGGGGCCGCCGGUAUUUUCACCCAACGACUGAACGGAGCACUGUUGUGAGGAUAAGAUAGCUGGAGUUCUGUGGAUGGAUUAACCCGGCCCGAAAUAUAUACUUUCUCCGUUCCGAAUUACUUGUCGCACGUAUGGAUGAUAACCAGGUACAAGCUCUCGUCCUCGUAGAGAGAUCAGAAACCACACACAUGUAUACAGUGCACACAUUUGAACAAGUGCCACCAGCAACAGCAAUGUUAUACCUGCAAAAAAAAGCAACAGCAAUGUUACACAGACAGUCACUGCCAAGAGGCGACACGCGUCAACACACUCUUUCACAUGGCAGCCCAGUGGCAAGGUCACAGUGGUAUUUCCUUGUAGACCGGAGUUUAAAUCCCGUCGGUAGCGAAUUUUUACGAUCUCAUCGGGGUGGGCUUCUUCUAUAAAAAUAUGUCCUGGAUGCUAGUGUCUAAGGAUCUCAUUUUUUUAACACACUCUUUCACACACCGACAGGUAUACGGCUUGGUGGAUGUACAUUGUACCUCCAGGCUACAGCCAUUUAUACCCCAUCAAUCGAUCCCAGGAGGACAGAUGCUGGGAGGUUUUUAUUAUAUUUAAGAUGCUUUGUACUUCGAAUGAAAUUUUAAUCUGAUCUUUCUCGGGGUGGAAAAAAACAUACCGCUAACAUGACACGAUUGAGCGAAGCACUGUUGUGAGCGAUAAGAUAGCUGGAGUUCUGUCGGUGGGUUAAUUAACCCCGAAGUAGAUUGUUUACAGAAACCACAUACACAUGUACUAAAGUGCACACAUUUGAAGUAGUGGCAAUGUUACACACGGACACAGUCACUGCCAAGAGGGGACAUGCGUGGCAGCACACACUUUCACACACCGACAGAUACGUAGUACGUACGACAAGAUGAGCACAUGUAUAUACGGCUCAGUACAUGUAUACUAUACCUCCGGGCUCUUGCCAUUUGCACCGCAUGCAUCAUCAACCCACCCCGGGGCCGGGACACGAGGAGGACAGAUGUUGGGAGGGUGGGUGGAU